rnacentral:lncRNA from 1 species
UCAGCAGAGUCUCCAUCUAGUCUAGGCAGCAAAAACCUUGUUAAGAUGUGUACGACAUAGUUACCACUGCAUCCAAACCUGGUCCUAAGUUAAGGUUUAAGUAAAUAAAGGGCAUUUUCAAUAAAUCAAAGUAAAGCAGAUGAGCCAAAAAAAUUGGAAACUCAUGUACUGCAAUCCCGGCACGAGACAGAGCGUAAAACGCACUCGCCGCAAAAUGCAAAACGCCCAUUUGCUACCCGGCUUGUAGCAGGAAAAAGGAGUAGAAUUGAACUUGUCGAUACACACAGUAAUCAUGUGAGCUGCCUAGCAUUUGGAGACUAUGCUGACUCUCCUGUAAAAUUAAUCUUGGCUGAAUUGGAUUCUUAGGCAUUGGCGUCUUGGUGAGUUAAAGUUGCAGUUUCCGACGAGUAACAUUGGUUAGUGAACUCUUGUGUGUAUGUGUGGGUGAAGCUUUGAGCUAAGCAAGUCCUUGAUGUACCGACUAUCAAGUCAUACUGUAAUCAGAUUCAGAUAUGAAUGAAAAAUUGUUGGCCUGAAUUUGUGCAGAGCAUUUGAGUAACUUUCUGUAUAUAUGUUUGUUGUAUGCAUCUAUGACUUAUUAAAACAUUCUGCUGCUCUAGUCGGAAAAGGGUGUGUACUGAGGCACUGAUCCAAUAGAACUCACCUCUGAUUUCUCAAUACUUCGUUUGAGUGGUGAAGCACAGAACCAUGUUUUUGACAGUUAAUGGUUAGAAGAUAAUUUUCGUUUGAGAUACUGUAAUCUGAAUUUGUUGGCCUGAAUCUGUGCGGAGCAUUUGAGUAAUCUUUUUGUAUCGAUCUAUUCUUGUAUGCUUCUAUGGCUUCUUAAAACAUUCCUGUGUUCUGGUUGGAGAAGUGUGUACCCGAGAUACGAUCCAAUGGAUUGACCUCUGGUGUCACAAUACUUCCUUUGAGUGGUGAUGCACAUAACCAUGUUUGGGACAGUUAUCAGUUAGAAGAUUUUUUGGUUUGAGAUACAGCAAUCUACUUGCCAAGAAUGUGAACUCUUGUGUGUGUUGGUGAAGCUUUGAGCUAAGCAAGUCCUCAAUGUACCAAAUAUCAAGUUGUAGCGUGAUCAAUUUCAGAUAUGAAUGAAAAAAUGUUGGCCUGAAUUUGUGCAGAGCAUUUGAGUAACUUUCUGUAUAUAUGUUUGUUGUAGAAGAUUUGUUGGUUUGAGAAUGUGGAAAAGUUUGCAUCAUAGUGCAGCUAUUUGACAAAUAGGUUUGGCUUUUCUCAGAUCAUGUUAGCUUUUCAUUCGAAUUAUGUGCAACAGCAGUCUUACAUUUUCAGACUCCCUGCUCUUGCACCACUGGGCAUGUGAACUGGCAUGUUCAUCGCUCCAAGUAUCUAUCUCGUGAUACUAUCAUCGGUCCUGUUAUUGGUCUCCUCAUUUCUUUCUUGAGUAUUCCUUCCCACAUCAACUCAUCCAGCGCUGGAUCUGGUUGGUCAAUUUUAAGGUUACUCAGAAUUCUCUCUGUACUUUGUGAAAAUAUGACGAGGGAGACCUGCUGCAAAAACAAACUGGGUAAUCAUUGCUUGCGUUAGUUAGCAUGGAAUCGUACAUGUUGAAUCAGCAACUGAUGGUAUGUCACAUGGAAAACCAAUUUAGAUUAUCAUCAACAAGAUCCUCUGUAAAAGUUAUCCAGUAGUCCAAUGUUUAUCUGCAUUUCAGAGAACGCGGUGGUUCAGUACGUUGAUGAUCUCAUUGUCAUUGCCGUUUAUCCUUGCUCACCAAAAGACUGCUGCAUUUUUCUGCGGAGUGCUGGAUGGUGAAACAUAACAUCACGGUUUCCAAGCUCUUUCUGAACUUCUUUUAGGUCUCCAAACAAACCGUUCUGAAUUCUGAUGUUUUAUUCCUUGAGAUCGUGAGGUUGUAAUAAAUUAGUACAGUAGGCAUUAGAUUUUAUUAUAUUUGCUUAUGUGAGUCUGUCCAAAUUAGGAAAGAUGUCAAAUUAAAGAGCCGUGCUGAGAAAAUACAUAUAAUAUUUACAUGUGAAUAGAGUACUGAAAGACCCAGACACAGGAACAUGGAAAACAAAAGUCAAUAUUGACAAAAGCUGCAAUGGGUUUGCGAGAAAAUCACUGAAUACCGCUUGCAUUUUAGGAGCUUUGCUGCCCCAAGCUUCACGAAACAAGCGACCCUGGACAAAAACACCCACAUCAGUGAAGCUACAAGCAGAAUUUAUGCCUUCAGUCAGAACACAAUUAACUCAAGAAAUAAUGCAGAUAAAAGAGCAGAGCUUACAUAUUUCCAAAGCUGUUCUUGGCAUAUGAACCACCACGGUGACCAGCAUACAUGAAUAGAGAUCCUGAACGUUUGGCAAAUAGGUUGGGCUUUUCUCAGAUUUUUUUUAUUGUUCUGGAAAAGGAGGUUAAAACCCCCGGCCUCUGCAUCAAUCGAUGCAUACUGUGGUAGGAACUUGUACCCUACCAGGCCUGGGGCGUAAGCAGUAGGGGAAGGAGGGAGCUGGGCGAGGCGAUGAGCGGCCGCGCCGGCGGUUGGGCGCCGUCGCGGAAGAGGAGGGAGAUGGCGGCGGCGACUAGGGUUAAAGGCGGCUAGGGUUCCGGCUCCUCUGGGAGCCGGGCAAUAGAGAUAAUAAUCUUCUUAUUGCUUGAUUCCAAAAAGAGUCUUACAACCUAUAUUUAUAACCUAGAUAACUUGCAUAAGAAUUAUCUAAGAUAACUUGUGGGCUAAGAUUGCCCGGUGGGCCUAGCUAAACCGGCCAUAACACUUCUCCCCGCCUGCACAAACAGCUCGUCCUCGAGCUGUAAGGUGGGUAAGCGCUUGCGGAACUCCUCGAGGUGAUCAACUAGCGUCAAACACCUUCUCGACAGCUGGGGUGGCCAGGUCGGCGGCGACGGCGUCCUCCGGAAUGUAGUCUGCAACCUCCAGGUAGAAGAGUCGCGGGCAGGCAUGGCCGGGCGUGUAGGGCUCGUCGCAGUUGAAGCACAACCCUUGGCGGCGACGCUCGAGUAGCUCGGCUGAGGUCAGCCGGCGGAACGGGCGCGCCGCGGUCACGGCGAGGGGUGCCGCAGAAGCCUGUGCAGGCCGCCCCUGUGCGGAAUCCGGCCCGGGUAGCGACCCAGCGGUCCAGGACGGUGAUUCCUGCUGGAUGGCCACCGUGCGGCGCUCGAAAGAGCGGGCGUAGUACAUGGCCGACUGGAGAUCCUGGGGUCCCCGAAGCUCCACGUCCACGCGGAUGUGAUCCGAAAGUCCACCGACAAAGAGGUCGGCCCGCUGUUGCGCCGUCACACCCGACGCAUGGCAUGCCAGGGCCUGGAAACGGUCGGCAUAGUCCUGCACCGUGGAGGUGAAUGGAAGGCGGCCGAGCUCCGCCAGGCGGCUCCCGUGAACCGGAGGCCCAAAGCGAAGGAGGCAGAGCUCGAGGAAGCGCUCCCAAGGGGGCAUGGCGCCCUCGUCCUGCUCGAGGGCGUAAUACCAGGUCUGUGCCACGCCGCGAAGGUGAUAUGAGGCGAGCCAGGUACGCUCCGAUGCGAGGGUGCGCUGCCCGUGAAAGAACUGGACGCACUGGUUGAGCCAGUUGAGGGGGUCCUCUGUGCCGUCAUAGGUGGCGAAGUCGAUCUUGGCGAACCGUGGCGGUGUCUGGGUCAGAGCGCCGUGUCGAGCUGGCUCAGAGGUGCGGAGCAGCGAGGCGGGUGGCGCCUGGUCGGAGUACUCCGGGUAGGGACCCGUGGAGCUGGAUGGCCCGCCGAACUGCGGAAACGGGGUCGGCUGCUCCGGAGCCAUGGUGUAGACCGGCGAUGGCGAAGACCCAGCCGCCCACGCUGGAAGUGGCGACGGGGAGGGCGGGAACCGGACCUGAUGAAUCGGGAGGCCGGUCGGUGAGGGUGCCCCCGAGCUAGGCAGGGGCGGUGCUGGUGGUUGGAGCGUAGGUGGCGGGGGGUGGGCGGGGGCGUCGGUGGCCGCGGGAGGGGGUGGCUGCAAGUACCACAGAGGGGCCGCGGCCGGCGUAGUCCCGCUGGAAACGGCAGCAGGGGCUGCCCGGUGCAGGUCGGCGCGGAGAACGGCUGCAGCUGUCCGGUGGUCGCCGCCUACGGCAUCUGCUGUAGCGGCCAGGGGCCCGAGGACGGCGUCGGCGCCAAGGGCCAGAGGGGCACGCCGUACGGAGAGACGCCCUGGGGCGGCCACGGCGUGUGGCCGUAGGCGGCAGGGGGCGCCGUCGGCAGGGGCAUGUAGGGCUCGGCCACGUACAACUGCUGUUGCAAGUAGAGGCUCUGGACGGCGGUGACGAGGUCCCGCAGGGUGGCCGUGACCUGCUCCGGUGUGAAGACGGCGGACGGCGGUGGCGCAGGAGGAAUUGUGGAGGACGGCGCGGCCGGGGUCGCGGUGGAGACGGGGCCCGCCAGCGUGGUUGAUCUGGCGGCGGACGUCGUCAGCGCGGUGAGGGACGGCGCCGGCAGCAUCGGCGCAGUGAGGGACGGCGCCAUCGUCAUCGGCGCGGUGGAUCCGCUGGAAAGCGCCGGCGGUGGUGGUGGCAGCGACAUGAUCGAAACUUGGUCUCUGAUUACCAAAUUGGUAGGAACUUGUACCCUACCAGGCCUAGGGCGUAAGCAGUAGGGGAAGGAGGGAGCUGGGCGAGGCGAUGAGCGGCCGCGCCGGCGGUUGGGCGCCGUCGCGGAAGAGGAGGGAGAUGGCGGCGGCGGCUAGGGUUAAAGGCGGCUAGGGUUCCGGCUCCUUUGGGAGCCGGGCAAUAGAGAUAAUAAUCUUCUUAUUGCUUGAUUCCAAAAAGAGUCUUACAGCCUAUAUUUAUAACCUAGAUAACUUGCAUAAGAAUUAAUCUAACAUAACUUGUGGGCUAAGAUUGCCCGGUGGGCCUAGCUAAACCGGCCAUAACAUACUGCCACAGCCAAUAUCGAUUUUUUAGAAAGAAAAAACAAUUAAGGGAAUACUGUGGUCAUACUGUCUUCUGGGUGGAAGACUAGUAGGAGGAGAAGAAACCCUAUCCUUGACAAUUCCACUGACAGUGUUUCACUUGUUUGGAACAACUCAACUUCCCUCCCCUGCAACCUUGACAGCAAUGGUUUUAAUGGCAGAUACACCAGAGAGAAAAUGUGCACCACAUGCAACUGAACAAUAGAUUUGCAUUGAUGGUCCUUGGACCAAUUCUCACCACAUAUGAAACAUAAUCCCUUGGCCUUCCUAAAAUUUCUCAGGGAAGUCCACUUGUCUUCAGUGACUUGCUACCUUCAGCUGGUCUGCGUUCUUCCACUGUCUUGGCCGUGUAGGAGUGGAAGUGGAACUUCUCUUAACAGAUGAGAUCUUAAGUAUUUUCUACCAAAAAUCAGUUUUACAUUCUGUCCUAAUUUCUGCCGGUGAUUGCAGUGACUCCAGAACAGUUUACAGAAACUUGUUAUUAAGUUGCUAAAAUAAACGGAGUAAACCGUGGGAGGCAGGUACACUUCCUAUUCACUAGAUCGAAAAGAAAUGACACGCACAAAGUUAAUGUUGCGUUUCCUGGAUGGGGAAUGUAUAUGUUGAAGCUUCUACCAUUACUAGCUCUGCUGCAUUUUUCUGUUCAGUGUUCCAUGAUGAACUUGUUUGCAGGCCAUUCUGAAAUCUGAUGUGCAGCUGUUUUUGUGCCGUGUUUGUUUUCCUUCAGUGUUUUUGUUUUGGUGUUCAUGACAUCUAUUCCUAUCUUCAUCGAACCUACAAUAUCAAUCAGCCGGCUAUUCUUGAGCUGUAAAUCACAUGGAGCUGGACCCUGUUAGACUGAUGGUCUAGUGGCGAUCCCAUCCCCAAGGAAAAAAAAUGAAGUAAGGAUGUUCUUGCGGCAAUCCGCAAUCAACGGUGGUGUUUUGGCUCCAGGAUGAACAAUAAAAUCGUAAAAAAUUCAAAAUAUUUCGAAUUUUUAUAACGACAUACAUGUCCACUAGACACUUAUAACAUUUCAGAGUGCAAAUGAUUGUACUACUAGACACUUGUACCCUCUUAUAUCUCUUCAUACUAACACGAUUAAGACGAUCAGCACAACACCGCAAAGAAGCACAGAAAAGUCCACUUCGGUUCCUUCCCGGGUUCUUUCUCUCUCACUGGUUUGUUCGCGCUUGCCACGGCCGUUCACCUUCAAAGAAAACGACCCUCAUUGAUGCAUUCAACCUCCUGCCAGGAAAACAAAAGGUUAUGAGAUUCAUUCACUUUUUUUUUUGAUAAAAGAGAGCUUGCCUCUCCGAUUUCAUAUAAAGAAAUCAUCCGUUCACAGGCUGAGAUUCAUUCACAUGAUUUAAACAUAUACUACAUACCUUUUGUAUAGAGAUUUGAUAUCUUGUCACAGCGCCUCGUUUUCGAGAAACCUAUCCCCGCUCUCUGAAACAUCCACAUCAAGCUCAAAAUCAUUGUUGCCACAGAGAUUGUUCGAUUCGAACCACAUCUUGGACACCCAUUCCUCUCGGAAGGCCGUGUUGUGCUGAAUUUCCCCAGUCCCACCAAACCCCUCAGGAUCUCUUCCUGCUCGGUACUCAUUUUCAGAACACGGUCAAGUCCAAAAGUCCUGGUAGCUCCUCCGAAAGCUCGCCUUGAUAAUAGUGGAGCACAUUUGCAGUUAGCUCGCGCAGACUCUGGAUGAUCAUCACUCUCAUUUUAUCAUUUGUGUCCUUUUGAAGGUUUUCUUCUACCAAAUCACAGAACUUAACUGAAAUGUUCUUUGACCUUGCAUUUUUCCCUAUAUGUCCACCUUGCUUAAUACGCGCUUCACUAUCGCCCGGGAUCCCUCCAUUUUCAAGAAUCUUGGCCGGACAAGGUUCAAGAUGUUGAAGACCUCCUUUACAUGAUUCUGGAACAAGGUUCCUGAGAGCACCACUUUUCUAGGAGUUCGUAUACUUCCAAGUGCAGCGAGUAAGUCAGUUUGCUCAUUUCUCGGAGUGCAGCCUUCGUCUAGAAUGACAAGGCUUGGGAUCUUCAGCAACUUCUCCUGGCACAUGACGGCUUCUGCUUUAUACGUUUGAUCCAACACUAUGCAUGCACAUGACGGCUUCUGCUUUAUACGUCUUCAUCUAGAGUGUGUGAAGGGAAGUCUGCACAGAUUGUAUUGUUCCGCCGUGCACGUUGGUUUGUGUGUUACCUAUAAAGCAAAGCGAGAGCGUGUUUCGAGAGAUCUUUCUUCUUAACAAAAUGACACCCUGCUGAGCUCGUAGUAGCAAGGGGGAAAAAAGGAUGGUACUCCCUCUGUAAACUAAUAGUAUAAGAGCGUUUAGAUCACUACUUUAGUAUUCCAAACGCUCUUAUAUUAGUUUACGGAGGGAGUACAUUUCAAUCGCAGUAAGCUACUUCAAAACUAAAACCUUGAUUUUCUGUACAAUACAGCAGUAGACUAGCUAGUAAGAUUCAUCUUGUGUGAGCUUUACUUGUGAGUUAAAUUAUAUACAAACAUCUCUUUCAUCCGUAAUGACAAAGAUUAAAAACAUCACUCUAAAGGUUUGGGGGAAAAUACCAGCCUAAUAUUCUUAGGCAAGUUUCGUCAAACUCUUGCCUGCAGAUCAAAAGAAACAAUGCUGCAAAUUUGCAUUACCUUGUCACGACAUGAAUGUAGAACUGCGUGUUCUAUUUCUCAACAAUAACAAGCAAUCUAAGAGGACUACUAAUCAGUAGUAGAUUGCAUUCAGGAAUGCAUGCUAACAGUAGGUGCAAUUUCAGGAGCAUUGUUUUUCUGAACUAUGCUCUUCACUAAAGCUAAGGAGAGACAUGAAUAAUCAUCCAUAAAGUACUUUCUUGCUAACUACAUCACUGGCUGGAGCUCAAUAUAAUAAUACGCAAGAACAAAAAACAUGCAACAAGCAAACAUGAUCGUUCACUGGCCAGCACCAUAGACUAAGCUGGGGAGCACCCAGAGGCUCUCAAGCUGAUUGCUUCUGCCUCCUAGGAUGUAUGAAUUGGAGGAGUUGUGCUGUAAACUGCCUGACCAAGCUCUACAGCAAUCCAAGGUUCAUCAGAGUCUUUGGACGCACUUGGAAGGUAAAUGCAGUUACUCUUUCCACCCCAUCUUUCAGGGUUCAUGCAAGAAAAUGUAGGGCUCAUCCUAUCAUGGCUGACAAAGAGAGCCCAGUUGUCCAACUUCUCCAUCUUGGUCCACUUAGCUCGUUCGGCUGAAAAAUCAAAGCGGAAGACUUGAAAGGUGCCAUUGCUUAUCAAGCCAUCAACGAGAUCAACCAUGAGAAGCAUGUCACCACAGACCACCAACCAUGGAUCAUAAUUCAAGCCAGCAACGAUGUCCUCUCCCUACACAACAUCGACUUCCUGCACGCUGAGCUGAGGUGCCAAGGAUAUGGUUUUGAGCAUCCGGGGAAAGUCUAUGGCAAACAUCUGACCUUUGAACAAAACAAUCUGACUAAGGAAGUGUUCAGAAACAAGAGGGUGCUCUGUUCAGGAAUCCGUUCCAACCUGCCACUGGAAAAUGAAUGAUUUCGAGAAAAGGAGGAGACAUGAGUUCGGUGAACUGAGUGGAGCUAUAAGAAUGCCACCAUAGACCACACAAUCGCUGUUGGCUUGGAGUUUGGGUGGCUUCACCUUAGUGCCUGUGUAAACAUCGACAAGGAGGAGGUGCUCCAUACAUGAGAAGAUAAGAUGCCCAUAUGAGCAGCCCAAAUGGCGCAUGUAAUUUGGAGCAUUACGGGGAGCUGACCGGAGCAGAGAUAAGUCUGUCCUCAUAGGAUCACAAAGACACCAUUUGUAGUUCAAUAAAAGCUUGUACCAUGUGCCGCAAUCCCGGUUAGCCUUACGCAAACCUGCUUUGAGAUGGAGAGGUGGAAAGACAAAGGCAUAUAUGGAUGAUGGAAAGGAAAAGACCGCAGCGCGCCAAGAGUGACAGGCGCCACUAAAAGCAAGGAAGUCAUGGAAUGAGCUUAAGAGAGCAAUGAUUAAGUGAAGCAGGCUGUCCGGUAGGUCUGCCCAAACAUGUUGUUCAGAUGAGGCUGAGGUAGAGACCAAGCAGUGGCAGAUUUUCUUAGAUGGCCGCUAUGCGUCUGCGACCGCCACUUCUCUGUCAUACAAAAAAUUCAAGAACGAUGUAUCAGGAUCAUGGAAUCAGAUAUCAUAGAAAAAGGUUGAAAUGGCGGUACUUAGGCUCUUACUGCAGUAGUACACGUUGAGGGAAACAAAAAUGUUCAUUUCGUUCAACAUUAAUUUCUUUCCAUAGUAGAUAUAUAUCAAGAUGGCGCACUACAAUCAAAAUAAGCUACCCCAGAAUAGCCAACAGCUUGAUGCUCUGUAUGACAGCAUAAAGAUAACUUUCUUUAAUGAGCCACAAUAGGUGUAUUUUCCAAAUCAUGCAUUAGUUUAUACUCCCUCCGUUCCUAAAUAUAAAUCUUUCUAGAGAUUUCAAUAUGGACUACAGACGGAUGUAUAUAGACGUAGUUUAGAGUGUAGAUUCACUCAUUUUGCUUCGUAUAAAGUCCAUAUUGGAAUCUCUAAAAGGGCUUAUAUUUAGGAACUGAGUGAGUACUUUGUAGAGUAUUCUCAAAACAAAUAACAAAUCAAGUGCCACCAAUCUUGCAAGACGCUCAACUGUUUAUCCAGACAACAUCUGUGCAAUCUUUUCAUCACAUUUUUUUUUCAGUUCCUCCCUUUGCACAUCAUUUCAGAUAACUAGUGUCCCACGAGAGUAUGUUAACCCGAUUCCCACACAAUACGCAACCAAAGCAUUGCUCCAGUGGAGGACUACUGACGAAUAGCUGCAGUAAAGAUGUGUUCUAGGUUGAUUCUAGUAGUUUGGAUCUAAUCCACCCAACAACUUUGCAGUACGAAGACGAGGGGAAAAGAGAGGGAGGAAGAGGUCACGGGUGUGCAGACCUAAGGGCUGGUGCCGGCGGCGAGAGCUCGGGCGGUGGCUGCAUGGUCGCGGUGCGCCGCGUUUCUUCGUCGGAUUCGCCGGCAACGAAGAGGCGGAGGAAGCCACCGAUCGAUCGCCACAUUGAGGGAAUCGGCGGCGCCAGAGCUCGUCGUUUGCGUGUUUUUUUUUACGCUGCUGGGCGUCAGUCAGCCGAUGGAAGCCACCGAUCGAUCGCCUCGCUAAUCACGAUCGUUCCUAGGCCAGCCGUUCGAUCUCGCUGUUUGCAUCACUCGUCUUUCUCCUGCCAUAAGUACACAUGGAAAAGCGAAACAGUUUUUUCCUUUUCUUUUACAAGUAUAAAUUUUUGCACGUGCAACACAUGUCUCAGAUUUUGAUCAAUUGAGUUGGCAUGAUAUAAAAUUAAAAUAAUUCUUCAAAAAUAUAUUUGUUCCAACCGGGCUCACACCCCUUUACAUUAAAUGCUUAACGGAAAUACAACAGUCUCAGUCUUUUAACCAGAACAUAACAAAGCCUAAGACUUAUGAGCAGAAGGAAACUCAAUAUUUGAAUACAAAAAUAUAUAAAUCAAAUGAACACAGAAAUCAUAAUUGAAUGCUGGUACGUUGCCAUUGUCCUCUAUGUUUUUUCUCGUUCCAUAUAUAGACACAAUACUCCCUCUGUAAACUUUUAUAAGAUAGUGUUUACAAAGGAAGUACAUGUUAAAUUUUACAUGUAUAGAAAAAUAACCACUAACAUCGGAAAAACAAUUAAAAUCCACUUAACUUGAAAUGUAUUUCGAUAAAAAAAUGAUUUGAGGAAGUAUGCUUUGAGUGCAAUGAUCCAAGUAAUUAUUAACAUGCAUAGUAAAUUAAUAUUUACUUAUAUGCGCCCCCGCCAUGCAUACUGAGGUCAACAGUUUCAUAGAAAUCAACAAAAUUAUUUUUUCAAUCUAAUUUGUGAAAAUGAAACAUAUAUUUGAAUAAAAAUUAUAUAUAUCAUAUGCAAUACACAUAAAUUUUUGGUCGACUGCUGGAUGCAAGCAUACAACUGUUUUAUGCGAAGGGAUUCACUCGUUUUUUAGAUCAGCUCAUGUAUUUCUUGAGAGGAGUGAGACGCUUCUAGACCUCCAUAGGCCCGCACGAGCAUUAGUUUUGUUGGGCCUAUUUGACACUUCUCUCGCCUGCACAACAGUGACUUUUGUUCUGCUUAGAAAAAGAAAUCUAGUUCUUAGAAAAAAAAUACACUCCUUUCACCGCAAAGUAGCCACUCUGCUCACCUCACGGCCUCGCACAUUUCGCUUCUCCCUGCGGCCUCCUCUCCCUAACAGAGCUCGUCCUCGGCAUCUUUUCCCUACCACGACUAGUCUGCACCUGCUACGGCCUCACCCUACCACCAAUGUUGCCGGUCUCCCUAGAUCGAUGCUGCCGCCGUUGUCCACCCUCAGUGACGAUGAUUGUGAGACUCGACGCAACUCCUGGCCAAGGCGGCUGUGGCGGCUCAGAAUGCCUAGGCCCCACCCGCGCAGGCCGGUAAGUCUUGGGCUCGGGUCUCGCUUCGAUAUAGCAGAACAAUUUAUCUGAAGUACUAAGGAGGUUUGUUCGUGUUGUCUCAUGUCAUUUGUAACCAAGCUUUUGAUUCUAGAAGCCUACUAAUCUGCUAUAUCAUGAUAAUGACAUUCUCUAUCUAAUUUGGAUUCUACCAAGGUCUGAGGAUUGUCAUAGUACAAAGGAUGCUUGCUAGAUAGCUGCAUCAAAAAAGGGGUACAACAGGGUGAAGCUAACUUAAGAAGCGGCUGGAAGAGAAUCCGCUUUGCACCGGAGAAAAGCUCGCAAUGAACUAUCACUCGUCUUAGCGCACCAAAGAUGCAGCAUCUCUGCUAUAGCAGCCGCCGAAGCAUCAUGUGGUAUGGUUUCACUGAAGAAAAGGUUUGCUAGUGCGACAUAGGCUGCUGAAUGUUUCAGUGAAUCUAGCACCCAGAAAAAAUGGCUGGAUGCAAAUCUGAAGAAUUAUUUAUUAUCUCAGCGUUUCAGUCAUCUUUGGUACUGAAAGGCAUGGUGGUGGCACCUCCCAGGAGCGAGCUUCGUUAGUGCUAAACUGAGCCGUGGCUCGCCUAUGUUUUUUUUACAAAAAUUUUAUACGUACUAGCAUAAUACCCGUGUGUUGCUACGAAACUAUAACAUACGAGGAGUUAGGUCACUGACUUAGGCAAUCGUCAAAAUAUAUUGGCGCCAUGCGGCCUUUGCUCGUGGUUCACUAUAAAAAGAACAAAAAUACAACAAAAGAUCAUGCCUCAAGUAUUGGAGAAUCUUAACUGAUCAUGGUCCUUUAUAGACACAACAUUUCGAAUGUUAGAACAUAUGAGAAUAGACAUUGGUAAGUUGACUACAAAAAGUCAUGGAUCGGGUAGGAGGAAAAGGUAUGUUGUCGUUUUGGAAUUACAAUUUGUUUACCCUCUUGUUCUAUGAUAUAAAACUGAAAUAACUUGAUUAGAAAGAAAAAACAAAAAGAAAAACAAGAGCAUUAUAUUGAGCUGUCGCAUUUCUGCAUUUAUUAUUUGUGCCUAAGUGUUAGCCUUACACGAAUAGUAGUGUAUUAUUUAGUUAUGUUUGGUCCCACAUGCGAGUACAAAUAUAUUUGGUCUUCCCCGAAAAACUAGGAGCCACCUCAGGAGGCGAUUAGGGUUUCGAGUGGAAAGAGGGCGGCCGCCGGUCAAUUCUCGCCGACGGGCUGCACACAGGGAAUCCUGAUGGCCGCGGCAUCAGGUUCGUCGAGCAGCAAGGAUGCCCUCUCGCCAAGGGCGGCGAGGGCGCGCAUGGAGGAAGCCAUGGGGAAAUUAGAUCUCACGGAAGAGGAGGCAACACCAUUGAUCCUGGAUGAUGUUGAUGACGGCGCAAGGCCAAUCUGGGCGAUUGCGGGGAAGGUUCUCCGUCGGAAUUUGUUGCAUAUUUAGACGAUCGCCAAUGCUUUGCGCCCGGCAUGGGGAAACCCUAGAGGUCUGGUGUUCCGAUCGGCUGUUGAGAAUAUCUUUGUGGCGGAAUUCGAGACUCAACGCGAUCGUGAUCGCGUGUGGGAUGGCUCACCAUGGCAUGUGAGCAAGCAUGCUGUGAUUCUCACCGAGUUCAAGGAGAGUAUGCAGCUGUCAGAACUGCAAUUUGACAAACUCAGGAUUUGGGCCAGGGUUUUGAACCUGCCGUUCAAUCUGAGGAGUGACACAAGGGGCAAAGUUGUGGCUAGGCAAAUUGAUACAAACGCAUCAGCUGUCCAGUUUGAUCCUGUUGGGGGGUUCCUGCAUGCAAGGGUGACCAUAGAUGUAAGGAAGCCUUUGCGCAGGUGGAUCUUGAUCGACUCUGCGGCGAGAGGCAGCAGGGAUUGGUAUGACAUACAGUACGAGCAGGUGCCCAAUUUCUGCUUCUCAUGCAGACGAUUGGGCCACUCGGAUCUUCAUUGUCCGACGCCUGGAUCAUGGGAUGAGAACGGUGAAUUACCGUUCAAAACUAGUCUGAGAGCGUCUGUCCAGCGAGGGCUCAUCUAAAGAGCAGCAAUCCAGUCAUAAUAGUAACAAGGAGGCUCGCAUGACGAAUGCAAAAACAGAUGCAUAUGCUAAGGUUGUUUCCCCUCCCAAGAAAAACAAUCAGAAGAAUAAGAGGAAGGGAGGUCCUCAAAGUCAGAAACAAGUGUACAAACAUAUUACGCUGCCACCGGUGACCACCGUGGAGCAGGUGCAAGAGAAAGAGGCCACCAAUGCCAUGGUGGUUUUCAGAGCGGGAGAGAAUGUAUCGAUGGGUGAGGACAGAGAUGUUGGGACAGAACGGGGUCCGAAGAAGAAAAAACCCACGCCCACCAAUUCUCAGAACUCGGAUGAAUCGGCGGUGGCUGCGAUGCAACCCCGCCAGGAACAAUGAGUUGUUUAAGUUGGAACUGCCGGGGGCUUGGGAACCCUGCGGCAGUUCGUGAGCUUCGCAAUGUUGUGAAGCAAGAAGGGCCUGAUCUCCUGUUUGUCAUGGAGACGAAGAUUUCAGCAAAAGGGUGGAAAGUCUGAAACUCCUGCUUGGAUUUGCGGGCUGUUUUACUGUGAGCAGCGCCGGUCUUAGUGGGGGAAUUGGUAUGUUCUGGUCCAGGGAACUAGAUGCAGAGUUGAAGAACUUUAGUUCUGGCCAUAUUGAUAUGAUGGUGCAGAAGAAAUGUGAUGGCGCGAAGCAAUGGCGGGUGACAGGGUUCUAUGGAGCUCCAAAAGUUGAAGAUCGUUCACAUACGUGGAGGUUUAUGAGGACUCUACAUGCGAUUCAGCAUGAUGGUGGAUGUGCAUUGGAGACUUCAAUGAGACCUUGAGUGGUUCGGAGCACUUCUCCAGAAAUCCCAGUCCGGAAUGGCAAAUGAGGGCUUUUAGGGAAGUGACAGACGAUUGCUCUCUCAUUGAUUUGGGUUGGUCGGGGACUGAAUACACAUGGGACAAUAUGCAGUUCGGCAGAUCGAAUGUGAGAGCCCGGCUGGAUCGGGCGUUUGGUAACUCCGCUCUCCUACAGAUGUUUUCACACAUUAAGGUGAGACAUAUUGUAACAACGGAGUCGGAUCAUUGUUUUGUGUUUGCGGAUCUCCGCGAACACUUGGAAACGGCUAUACCUAGAGGGCCAAAACCUUCCAGAUACGAGGACAUGUGGCAAACACACGUGGACUAUGACAAGUUGGUGCUUGACUCAUGGCAAAAGGGUGCGGGCCGGGAAGGAUUACGAGGAGUGAGUCAAGCUCUUACGGCGCUACGGGGGAACCUCGUGGCAUGGGGAGCAAAGGAAUUUGGCUGUUUGUCGCGCAAGAUCAGGAAGUUGCGGGAGCAGCUUUCCCGACUGCGUGCCAAUCCUCUGCGACGGGGACCUACAGAAGAAGAGAAAGCAGUGGCUCAGAAACUUAAGUUGGCUCUGCAUCAAGAAGAAAUCUGGCUCCGUCAGCAAUCACGUGUUCCAUGGCUGUGGGAAGGGGACCGAAACACGGGUUAUUUUCAGGCCUAGGCCGCCCAACGCAAGCGCAUGAAUAAGAUAGAAAAUCUUGUCCGCAGUGACGGAUCGGUGUAUACUAGUUUGGAGGAAGAUCGUGCUGAGGUGCAAUAGUUCUAUGAGCAGUUGUAUACCUCGCAAGGCUUUCAUCAGAUGGAUGAAUUGUUGGAUGUUGUACCACCAUGGGUGACUCCUGUUAUGAAUGAUGAACUUAGCAAGCUGCUACCUCUUGAGCACUGCGUUGGUUUUCACCGAAGAGGAAGGGAUGAUGCAGCAAAGUAGCGUAAGUAUUUCCCUCGGUUUUUGAGAACCAAGGUAUCAAUCCAGUAGGAGGCUACGUGCGAGUCCCUCGUACCUGCACAAAACAAAUAAAUCCUCGCAACCAACGCGAAUAGGGGUUGUCAAUCCCUACAUGACCACUUACGAGAGUGAGAUCUAAUAGAUAUGAUAAGAUAAUAUUUUUGGUAUUUUUGUGAUAAAGAUGCAAAGUAAAAUAAAGGCAAAGUAAAAAAGCAAAGGAAAUAACUAAGUAGUAGGAGAUUAAUAUGAUAAAGAUAGACCCGGGGGCCAUAGGUUUCACUAGUGGCUUCUCUCGAGAGCAUAAGUAUUCUAUGGUGGGUGAACAAAUUACUGUUGAGCAAUUGACAGAAUUGAGCAUAGUUAUGAGAAUAUCUAGGUAUGAUCACGUAUAUAGGCAUCACGUCCGAGACAAGUAGACCGACUCCUGCCUGCAUCUACUACUAUUACUCCACUCAUCGACCGCUAUCCAGCAUGCAUCUAGAGUAUUAAGUUAAAAACAGAGUAACGCCUUAAGCAAGAUGACAUGAUGUAGAGGGAUAGACUCAUGCAAUAUGAUGAAAACCUCAUCUUGUUAUCCUCGAUGGCAACAAUACAAUAUGUGCCUUGCUGCCCCUACUGUCACUGGGAAAGGACAGAUUGAACCCAAAGCUAAGCACUUCUCCCAUUGCAAGAAAGAUCAAUCUAGUAGGCCAAACCAAACUGAUAAUUCGAAGAGACUUGCAAAGAUAACCAACCAUACAUAAAAGAAUUCAGAGAAGAUUCAAAUAUUAUUCAUAGAUAGACUUGAUCAUAAACCCACAAUUCAUCGGUCUCAACAAACACACCGCAAAAAGAAGAUUACAUCGAGUAGUUCUCCACAAGAGAGGGGGAGAACAUUGUAUUGAGAUCCAAAAAGAGAGAAGAAGCCAUCUAGCUACUAACUAUGGACCCGAAGGUCUGAGGUAAACUACUCACACUUCAUCGGAGAGGCUAUGGUGUUGAUGUAGAAGCCCUCCGUGAUCGAUGCCCCCUUCGGCGGAGCUCCGGAACAGGCCCCAAGAUGGGAUCUCGUGGAUACAGAAAGUUGCGGUGGUGGAAUUAGGUUUUUGGCUCCGUAUCUGAUCGUUUGGGGGUACGUAGGUAUAUAUAGGAGGAAGGAGUACGUCGGUGGAGCAACAGGGGGCCCACGAGGGUGGAGGGCGCGCCUGGGAGGUAGGCGCGCCCCCUACCUCGUGGCCUCCUCUUUUGUGUCUUGACAUAGGGUCCAAGUCUCCCGGGUCUUGUUUGUUGAGAAAAUCACGUCCCCGAAGGUUUCAUUCGGUUUGGACUCCGUUUGAUAUUCCUUUUCUUCGAAACCCUAAAACAGGCAAAAAACAGCAAUUUUGGGCUGGGCCUCCGGUUAAUAGGUUAGUCCCAAAAAUAAUAUAAAAGUGGAUAAUAAAGCCCAAUAAUGUCCAAAACAGUAGAUAGUAUAGCAUGGAGCAAUCAAAAAUUAUAGAUACGUUGGAGACAUAUCAAGCAUCCCCAAGCUUAAUUCCUGCUCGUCCUCGAGUAGGUAAAUGAUAAAAAAACAGAAUUUUUGAUGCGGAGUGCUACUUGGCAUAAUUUUAAUGUAAUUAUUCUUAAUUGUGGUAUGAAUAUUCAGAUCCGAAAGAUUCAAGAGAAAAGUUCAUAUUGACAUAAAAAUAAUAAUACUUCAAGCAUACUAACUAAGCAAUUAUGUCUUCUCAAUAUAACAUGGCUAAAGAAAGUUAUCCCUACAAAAUCAUAUAGUCUGGCAAUGCUCUAUCUUCACCACACAAAAUAUUUAAAUCAUGCACAACCCCGAUGACAAGCCAAGCAAUUGUUUCAUACUUUUGACAUUCUCAAAACUUUUUCAAUCUUCACGCAAUACAUGAGCGUGAGCCAUGGAUAUAGCACUAUAGGUGGAAUAGAAUGGUGGUUGUGGAGAAGACAAAAAGGGAGAAGAUAGUCUCACAUCAACUAGGCGUAUCAACGGGCUAUGAAGACGCCCAUCAAUAGAUAUCAAUGUGAGUGAGUAGGGAUUGCCAUGCAACGGAUGCACUAGAGCUAUAAGUAUAUGAAAGCUCAAAAAGAAACUAAGUGGGUGUGCAUCCAACUUGCUUGGUCACGAAGACCUAGGGCAUUUUGAGGAAGCCCAUCAUUGGAAUAUACAAGCCAAGUUCUAUAAUGAAAAAUUCCCACUAGUAUAUGAAAGUGACAACAUAGGAGACUCUCUAUCAUGAAGAUCAUGGUGCUACUUUGAAGCACAAGUGUGGUAAAAGGAUAGUAACAUUGUCCCUUCUCUCUUUUUCUCUCAUUUUUUUAUUUGGGCCUUUUCUCUUUUUUUAUGGCCUCUUUUCUUUCUCUUUUUUUCGUUCGGAGUGUCAUCCCGACUUGUGGGGGAAUCAUAGUCUCCAUCAUCCUUUCCUCACUGGGACAAUGCCCUAAUAAUGAUGAUCAUCACACUUUUAUUUUUCUUACAACUCAAGAAUUACAACUCGAUACUUAGAACAAAAUAUGGCUCUAUAUGAAUGCCUCCGGCGGUGUACCGGGAUAUGCAAUGAAUCAAGAGUGACACGUAUAAAAGAAUUAUGAAUGGUGGCUGAAAGCACAAGUGCUCCCUAGGUGGUUUUGAUAAUUGAUGACAACAUAUCUCUUGUUGGACUAACAUUUCUAUCUAGCAUGUUUCAGAUAAGUUCAACAAUGGAGUGGCAUGGACUAAAGGUUGUGGGAACUCCUUCAAGAUGCUAAGGACAACGGAUUGGCUAAAGCUUAAAGCUCAAGACUCUUCAUUUUACAUUUUAGUGAUCCAAGAUCACAUUGAGUCCAUAGGAAAAGCCAAUACUAUCAAGGAGGGAUGAGGUGUUGCUUAAUGAGCCUCUUGCUUCAUGUGCUUAAUGAUAUGCUCCAAAAUCCUCAGCUACUUUCCCACUUCCACAUAUGACCUAAACCCUAAGCCAAACUCGGUCCUACCGAUUCAUCCUAUCCGGCGCCACCGAGUUUCACUUGUCAUAAGCCACUGCCAAACCCUAAUCAGUUCGGUCUCACCGAUGGGAUCUCGGUCUCACCGAGAUGGACUUGCAAACUCUCUGUUACCCAUUGCAAUAUUCUCGGUCCCACCGAGAUAUGCAAUCGGUCCCACCGAGUUUGCUUGGCCAAAUCUCAGUUUCACUUAUUACCCAAAUCGGUCCCACCGAGUUUGAGUAAUCGGUCAAACCAAGUUUUGGAUUUACCCUAACCCUAGCACAUCGGUCCCACCGAGUUGAUCCAGUCGGUCCCACCGAAAUCUCUAACGGUCACUAGGUUUACCUUUUCGGUCUGACCGAGUUUGUUGAUUUGGUCCCAUCGAGAUUGAAAAACUGUGUGUAACGGUUGGAUUUUUUGUGGAGGCUAUAUAUACCCCUCCACCUCCUCUUCAUUCGUGGAGAGAGCCAUCAGACUAAGCCUACACUUCCAGCAUCCUAUUUCUGAGAGAGAACCACCUACUCAUGUGUUGAGACCAAGAUAUUCCAUUCCUACCAUACAAAUCUUGAUCUCUAGCCUUCCCAAGUUGCUUUCCACUCAAAUCUUCUUUCCACAAAAUCCAAAUCCUAUGAGAGAGAGUUGAGUGUUGGGGAGACUAUCAUUUGAAGCACAAGAGCAAGGAGUUCAUUACCUACACACCAUUUGUUACUUCUUGGAGAGUGGUGUCUCCUAGAUUGGCUAGGUGUCACUUGGGAGCCUCCGACAAGAUUGUGGAGUUGAACCAAGGAGUUUGUAAGGGCAAGGAGAUCGCCUACUUCGUGAAGAUCUACCGCUAGUGAGGCAAGUCCUGUGUGGGAGAUGGCCAUGGUGGGAUAGACAAGGUUGCUUCUUCGUGGACCCUUUGUGGGUGGUUGCUUCUUCGUGGACCCUUUGUGGGUGGAGCCCUUUGUGGACUCGCGCAACCGUCAUCCUUUGUGGGUGGAGCCCUUUGUGGACUCGCGCAACCGUUACCCUUUGUGGGUUGAAGUCUCCAUCAACGUGGAUGUAGGAUAGCACCACCUAUCCGAACCACGGGAAAAACAUCCGUGUCUCCAAUUGCGUUUGAAUUCUCCAAACCCUUCCCUUUACAUUCUUGCAAGUUGCAUGCUUUACAUUCCGCUGCUCAUAUACUCUUUGCAUGCUUGCUCGAUAUGUAUUGUGUAUGUUGAAAUUGUGCCUAAACUCCACUUAAACCGAAAAAAACUUAAAAAUUGCAACUUUAGCAUUAAGUGUCUAAUCCCCCGCCCCUUCUAGACACAUCUACUUCUAGAUCCUACAAGUGGUAUCAGAGCAUUGGUCUCCAUUGCCUUGGUUUAAUCACCAUUGGAGGAAGAUGGAUGUGUCUACCUUAGGGAGUCUUAGACAUAGAGUGCCUAUUCUUGAUGGAGAGUAUUUUCAUGAGUGGAAAAAUGAGAUGCUUGUAAUCUUCAAUCAAUAUCAUUUGAACGAGUAUAUUGCUAGCCCUUGUGCACCUCAUAUUGAUCCUUUGCAUCCUACCCUAGAUGAAGAUAUUGACAUGAUUCGCAAUCUUAGAACUAUUGAGCUCAUCAUUAGAGGAUUGCCCAAAAUUUUUAUUGCUAGUUUGCCUACUCUAAAUUAUGCCUAUACUAUAUGGAAAUUUCUUGAGGAACGAUUUCCCGAUCAUUCCUUGAAGACUUUGGAUGAAAUUCUCCAUAAAUCUAUUGCCUUGAGUAAGAUGAACUCUAGUGAUCCUAGUUUUGGUAAUUGUCUAUUUGAACUUACCAAUCUUAAGCAUGCUAAAGGAGAUGUUGGAAUCAUUAAUGAUAUCAUACUCAAAGCUAUAAGAAUUCAUAAAAAUGACCACUUGAUGAUCAUUUAUCUAAUGAAUUACCCUCUCUAGGAAAUGAUGAGUCACAAGAUCAUGAUGAACAUGGAUACUAUGAUGAUGAUGAUGAUAGUGACUUCGAUCUUGAUGAUGCAAUGAGACAUUUUGGUCUUAUGGCAAAUCUUCAGGGAUAUGAAUCAGGAGGAAAGGAAUGGGUUCUUGAUAGUAGAUGUACUGAUCAUAUGACCGGAGAUGAAGAGAUGUUUCGUGAGCUUGCUGAAAAUGACGGCCCUCGAAAAUAUGUCACCUUUGGUGAUAAUUCAAAGGGUAAAGUGGUUGCCCUUGGUAAGGUGGCCAUCUCACAUGAUAGUUCCAUUCAAAAUGUCAUGCUCGUUGAAUCUCUUGGCUACAACUUACUUUCAGUAUCUAGACUUGCUAAUUUCGGUUUGAAUGUCCUAUUUACUGAGGUAGAUUGCCAAGUAUUUCGUCGAGACAAUCAUAAAAUGGUCUUUACGGGUAUGCGUAGAGGUGAUCUUUACAUUGUCGAUUUCUCUAAAAAGGCACAACCUAAAACUUGCUUUGUUGCUAAAUCCUCAAAAGGUUGGUUGUGGCAUAGACGACUAGGUCACGUUGGCAUGAGAAACCUUGACAAGCUUAUUAAAGGAAAUCAUAUCCUUGGAGUUAACGAUGUCAUAUUUGAUAAGGAUAGACUUUGCAGUGCUUGUCAAGCAGGUAAACAGGUUGGAGGAAGACAUCCCAUGAAGAACAUCAUGACCACAAGGAGGCCACUCGAGCUACUUCACAUGGAUCUUUUUGGUCCCAACGCCUACAAGAGUCUCGGUGGAAAUUCUUUUGGUCUAGUUAUAGUUGAUGAUUUUUCAAGAUUUACGUGGGUGUUCUUUCUUAAUGACAAGUCGCAGGUCCAGAAGAUCUUCAGAAACUUCGCUAGGAAGGCCCAAAAUCAGUUUGAUGUGAAGAUCAAGAAGGUUCGGAGUGACAACGGAACGGAGUUCAAAAACGCAAAUGUGGACACCUUUAUUGACGAAGAAGGGAUUUCACACGAGUUCUCGGCUACGUACACACCUCAACAAAAUGGAGUUGUUGAGAGGAAGAACCGGACACUGAUCGAAAUGGCAAGAACGAUGCUUGAUGAAUACAAAACGCCAAAGCACUUUUGGGCAGAAGCGGUUGAGACAGCUUGUCACGCAACAAAUCGCUUAUAUCUUCACAAGCUACUCGGCAAGACGGCAUACGAGCUUCUCACCGGUAACAAACCCCAAGUUGGAUACUUUCGAGUAUUCGGCUCAAAGUGCUACAUUCUUGAUAAGCAUCGUCGUUCAAAGUUUGCUCCUAAAUCUCAUGAAGGUUUUCUACUUGGUUAUGGCUCAAACUCUCACACUUACCGUGUCUACAACAAUUUCACCCGAAAGGUUGAAGAGACGGUAGAUGUGAAGUUUUAUGAAUCUAAUGGCUCGCAAGUAGAGCAAUUGCCAAUUGAUGUAGGAGACAAAGACCCUUCAGAAGCAAUUCAAGACUUGUCCAUUGGCAAAAUUCGUCCAACGGAGGUGAAGGAGAGUACUUCAUCCAUCCAAGUGGAAGCUUCUACUUCACGACAAGGUGAACCAAGAAUCGACACGGAAGCAUCCACAAGUGGGACACACCAAGAUGAAGAAAACAAGGAAAUACAUCAAGACGAACAUCAACAACCUCCUUCUCCACCACGACAAGAGAACAACGACGUCAACAAUGAAGAAGGCCAAGAAGAAGAACAAGAUGAAGAAGAUGUUCAACGAAGACCCAAGCAAAAGCUCUCACGAGUUCGAGCAAGAAUUGCCAAAGAUCAUCCCGUCGAGCAAAUCCUCAAUGAUAUACAAACCGGGAGAAUCACUCGCUCAAAAACUCGUUUAGCUAACUUUUGUGAAAACUAUUCAUUCAUCUCUAGCAUUGAACCUAUGAAGGUUGAAGAAUCAUUGGAAGAUCCGGAUUGGAUAAAUGCUAUGCAUGAAGAGCUACAUAAUUUUGAGAGAAACCAAGUUUGGACAUUGGUUGAGAAGCCCGACAACAACCACAACAUCAUUGGUACCAAAUGGGUGUUUCGCAACAAGCAAGAUGAAGAUGGACAAGUGGUUCGCAACAAAGCACGUCUCGUCGCCCAAGGGUACACACAAGUCGAAGGUAUGGACUAUGGUGAGACGUAUGCUCCCGUUGCUAGACUUGAGUCCAUUCGCAUCUUACUUGCCUAUGCUAAUCACCAUAAUAUCACCUUGUACCAAAUGGACAUUAAAAGUGCUUUUCUAAAUGGUGAAAUAGAGGAGGAAGUUUAUGUCAAACAACCUCCCGGCUUUAUCAAUCCUAAGAAACCAAAUCAUGUUUACAAACUUCACAAAGCUCUUUAUGGUCUUAAACAAGCUCCUAGAGCAUGGUAUAAAUGCUUGACCAAGUUCCUUACUACAAGUGGUUUUGAAAUUGGUAAAAUUGAUUCUACUCUUUUUACUAAAAGGGUUAAUGGAGAACUAUUUGUAUGCCAAAUUUAUGUUGAUGAUAUCAUAUUUGGUUCAACUAACCCUCUCUUUAGUGAAAAGUUUGGAAAGCUAAUGUCAGAGAAGUUUGAGAUGUCUAUGAUGAGUGAACUCAAAUUCUUUCUCGGAUUGCAAAUCAAGCAAACUAAGGAAGGUACAUUUGUCUCUCAAACAAAGUACACCAAGGACUUAUUCAAGAAGUUCAAUAUGCAAGAAUGCAAAGGUAUGUCUACACCCAUGCCUACUAGUGGACAUAAUGAUUUAACCAAAGAUGGUGAACCGGUUGAUCAAAAGGUUUAUCGCUCUAUGAUUGGUUCAUUGUUAUACCUAUGUGCUUCACGUCCCGAUAUUAUGCUAAGUGUGUGCAUGUGUGCACGAUAUCAAGCUGCUCCUAAAGAUUGUCAUCUUAAGGCUGUGAAAAGGAUAGUGAGAUAUUUAAUCCAUACACCAAAUUUUGGCAUUUGGUAUCCUAAGAGGUCUUCUUUUGAUCUUGUUGGCUGUUCCGACUCGGAUUAUGCCGGAGACAAGGUUGAUAGAAAGUCCACUUCGGGUACUUGUCAAUUUCUUGGUAGAUCUCUUGUGUCUUGGUCUUCCAAGAAACAAAACUCGGUAUCCUUAUCCACCGCCGAAGCGGAAUACAUUGCCGCUGGUUCAUGUUGUGCUCAAUUACUUUGGAUGACCCAAACUCUUAAAUAUUAUGGGAUUUAUGUGAAACAUGUUCCACUGCUUUGUGAUAAUGAAAGUGCUAUCAAAAUUGGUCAUAAUCCUGUACAACAUUCUUGAACUAAGCAUAUUGAAGUUCGUCAUCAUUUCAUUCGAGAUCAUGUUACGAAGGGUGACAUCAAUCUUAAGCAUGUUCGCACCGAUAAGCAAUUAGCGGAUAUAUUCACUAAACCACUUGAUGAGAAGUGUUUUGCAGGUUGAGAGGAGAAUUGAACAUCAUUGAUGCUUCGAACUUGGAGUAGAAACUCCAUUAGAUACAUGCAAGACAUGAGCUUAUGACUAAUCCAUGAUAUAUCUCUUAUGAUAACUAUCUUAUGUCUUGGAUAUAUUUGCACCUUGCAUGUUGUCUAACCCAUGUGGGUGCUUGGUUGAAUCUAAUUCCAUGAGAUUGCGACUCACUCACAUCUUGAGCAAUCUCUACAUCACCAAGACUCUACACAAUAGUGGUUGAAGACAAGGAAGCACAAAACCAUUCAAACAUAUCCUUUGACAAAUUCUAUGUUAAGCUUCAUGAUUGUCAUUUUUGGAUACACAAGUGCUCUUCCUUGCAAGAACUAACCCAUGUAGGUAGGUGAACUCAAAUUACAAGUGGUGCUCCCAACUCUUGAUGAGCUACAUCAACCUUGAGCACCCACACAAGUUCAACUACAUGAGCAAGAACCACACCACCACCCAAGGUAUGUUAUUCCAUCUUAGAGAAGCUUUACUCCAAGACAUGAGUCAAAGAAACUCAACAAGAUGUGAAUACAUCAAGAUGCUUAAACGAAAAAUGGUAACCCCAUUUUGAGCUUAAACGAUGAGUAUGACCUAUGAUCAAGUGUUCUCACUUGACUCCUAAGUCAAUAUACUCUAACAUAGGUGACUAUGUCACCGCCCAACUCUAGAUGAAGCUCUCUUGUGUUCUUUCUUUGUGUUAUUGCAUUUGUCUCAUGCAUGUUUAUUUUCUCUCUCCUUUUUCAAAAACAAAAAAAAACUUCAUCUAGAUCUUUCAGUUUCUUCUCUUUUCUCUUUGUUUUUUUUCUGCAUUUUCUGCACUUAAUUCCUUGCAAAUCCUUCAGGAAAUUCAUUGCAAAUCUUUGUGAGAUCCUACAUGUCUAGUGAGCUGAGGUGACAAGUGUUUUUCUCUGGGUAAACUCGGUUUCACCGACUUGCAAUUUUCGGUCCAACCGAAUCUUUUCGGUACCACCGAAAUGUGCCACUCGGUGCCACCGACUUUGCAAUCAGAAAAACAGUUUGCCACUUGUUCUACAUUUCUUCUGAUCCAGCUCCACUCAAUGAAUCUUGUCCUCUACAAGCAUCACAAUUUUAUCCUCUGCUUUGUGCUGAAUCUCAAGGACCAAACCUAUUCGAUGGAUUCCAGGAAAAACCUUCUUGGAAAUUGAUGUCAAAGGGGGAGAAAGAGAUCACAUCAAAGCUCAAAGGGGAGAGAAAAUACUCAAGGAUCCCAGAUGCUUGAUGUUCAAGAGGAGAGAUGUCACAUGUCUUUUUGGGGGAAAGACAUGUAUUUGCAUUAAGUUCUAUCCAUUUGUAUCUUUCAGCUCUGAUUUUCUGUUCCCUAUCUUCUCCCAAUAUCCCAUGUAAGAUUCAGGGGGAGCAAGACACCUAAGGGAAAGAAAUCAGUCAAAUUCAUUGCAUAUCUUUAUUCUUGGGGACAUGUUGAAUUCAAUGUGGUACCUUGUACUCACUCUCUACAUGUCAUCCCAGUCUUGGUAUUCUUGUGGUUUCUUUUGUUUGCUCUGGCUUGUGGAUGUACCUGUGUUAUCUAACCUUGUUUGUGCAGGUUCAUUCCAUCCUAAGCCAACUCAAGACCACAAGGUAAGUAUAUGCAUCAAAAUCAUGAGUAUGAGGAGUUCUUUCUUAUGUACAUACUGUUUGCAAGAAGGACUCAUGAGCAUGAAGGUAUUUUCCUUGAUAAUCUUUUGCUCUGAUGCAUAUGGCCAAGAUGCAUGUAACACAUUGCCUACUUUGUCAUGGUUAUGCUCUCACAUGUCUCUACAUUUCAUAUUUACAUGAGUGCAUACAUGUAGGGGGAGCCUAUGCUUGUUACAUGUCCUUCCAAAAGCUUUACUUGCUGUUCUUUAUAUCUUUAUCUAAAGCUUUGAUGUAUGUUGCCAUCAAUUACCAAAAAGGGGGAGAUUGAAAGCACAAGUGCUCCCUAGGUGGUUUUCAUAAUUGAUGACAACAUAUCUCUUGUUGGACUAACAUUUCUAUCUAGCAUGUUUCAGAUAAGUUCAACAAUGGAGUCGCAUGGACUAAAGGUUGUGGGAACUCCUUCAAGAUGCUAAGGACAAAGGAUUGGCUAAAGCUUAAAGCUCAAGACUCUUCAUUUUACAUUUUAGUGAUCCAAGAUCACAUUGAGUCCAUAGGAAAAGCCAAUACUAUCAAGGAGGGAUGAGGUGUUGCUUAAUGAGCCUCUUGCUUCAUGUGCUUAAUGAUAUGCUCCAAAAUCCUCAGCUACUUUCCCACUUCCACAUAUGACCUAAACCCUAAGCCAAACUCGGUCCUACCGAUUCUUCCUAUCCGGCGCCACCGAGUUUCACUUGUCAUAAGCCACUGCCAAACCCUAAUCAGUUCGGUCUCACCGAUGGGAUCUCGGUCUCACCGAGAUGGACUUGCAAACUCUCUGUUACCCAUUGCAAUAUUCUCGGUCCCACCGAGAUAUGCAAUCGGUCCCACCGAGUUUGCUUGGCCAAAUCUCAGUUUCACUUAUUACCCAAAUCGGUCCCACCGAGUUUGAGUAAUCGGUCAAACCAAGUUUUGGAUUUACCCUAACCCUAGCACAUCGGUCCCACCGAGUUGAUCCAGUCGGUCCCACCGAAAUCUCUAACGGUCACUAGGUUUACCUUUUCGGUCUGACCGAGUUUUUUGAUUUGGUCCCAUCAAGAUUGAAAAAUUGUGUGUAACGGUUGGAUUUUUUGUGGAGGCUAUAUAUACCCCUCCACCUCCUCUUCAUUCGUGGAGAGAGCCAUCAGACUAAGCCUACACUUCCAGCAUCCUAUUUCUGAGAGAGAACCACCUACUCAUGUGUUGAGACCAAGAUAUUCCAUUCCUACCAUACAAAUCUUGAUCUCUAGCCUUCCCAAGUUGCUUUCCACUCAAAUCUUCUUUCCACAAAAUCCAAAUCCUAUGAGAGAGAGUUGAGUGUUGGGGAGACUAUCAUUUGAAGCACAAGAGCAAGGAGUUCAUUACCUACACACCAUUUGUUACUUCUUGGAGAGUGGUGUCUCCUAGAUUGGCUAGGUGUCACUUGGGAGCCUCCGACAAGAUUGUGGAGUUGAACCAAGGAGUUUGUAAGGGCAAGGAGAUCGCCUACUUCGUGAAGAUCUACCGCUAGUGAGGCAAGUCCUGUGUGGGCGAUGGCCAUGGUGGAAUAGACAAGGUUGCUUCUUCGUGGACCCUUUGUGGGUGGUUGCUUCUUCGUGGACCCUUUGUGGGUGGAGCCCUUUGUGGACUCGCGCAACCGUCAUCCUUUGUGGGUGGAGCCCUUUGUGGACUCGCGCAACCGUUACCCUUUGUGGGUUGAAGUCUCCAUCAACGUGGAUGUAGGAUAGCACCACCUAUCCGAACCACGGGAAAAACAUCCAUGUCUCCAAUUGCGUUUGAAUUCUCCAAACCCUUCCCUUUACAUUCUUGCAAGUUGCUUGCUUUACAUUCCGCUGCUCAUAUACUCUUUGCAUGCUUGCUCGAUAUGUAUUGUGUAUGUUGAAAUUGUGCCUAAACUCCACUUAAACCAAAAAAAACUUAAAAAUUGCAACUUUAGCAUUAAGUGUCUAAUCCCCCCUUCUAGACACAUCUACUUCUAGAUCCUACAGUGGCUUUGCCACAAAUACGAUGUCAACUACAUGAUCAUGCUAAGCAAUAUGACAAUGAUGGAGUGUGUCAUGAUAAACAGAACGGUGAAAAGUUGCAUGGCAAUAUAUCUCGGAAUGGCUAUGGAAAUGCCAUAAUAGGUAGGUAUGGUGGCUGUUUUGAGGAAGGUAUAUGGUGGGUGUAUGAUACCGGUGAAAGGUGCGCGAUAUUAGAGAGGCUAGCAAAGGUGGAAGGAUGAGAGUAGUGCGUAUAAUCCAUGGACUCAACAUUAGUCAUAAAGAACUCAUAUACUUAUUGCAAAAAUCUACAAGUUAUCAAAGCAAAGUAUUAUGCGCAUUCCCCUAGGGGGAUAGAUUGGUAGGAAAAUACCAUCGCUCGUCCCCGACCGCCACUCAUAAGGAAGACAAUCAAAAAAUAAAUCAUGCUCCGACUUCAUCUCAUAACGGUUCACCAUACGUGCAUGCUACGGGAAUCACAAGCUUUAACACAAGUGUUUCUCAAAUUCACAACUACUCAACUAGCACAACUUUAAUAUCACCAUAUUUAUAUCUCAAAACCAUUAUCAAGUAUCAAACUUCUCAUAGUAUUCAACACACUCAUAAGAAAGUUUUAUUAUUAAUCUUGUAUACCAAGCAUAUUAAGACUUUAAGAAAAUUACCAUGCUAUUUAAGACUCUAAAAAUAAUCUAAGUGAAGCAUGAGAGAUCAAUAGUUUCUAUAAAACAAAUCCACCACAGUGCUCUAAAAGAUAUAAGUGAAGUACUAGAGCAAAACUACAUAACUCAAAAGAUAUAAGCGAAGCACAUAGAGUAUUCUAAAAAAUUUCAAAUCAUGUAUGGCUCUCUCAAAAGGUGUGUACAGUAAGGAUGAUUGUGGUAAACUAACAAAUAAAUACUCAAAUCAUACAAGACGCUCCAAGCAAAACACAUAUCAUGUGGUGAAUAAAAAUAUAGCUCGAAGUAAAGUUACCGAUAGAAGUAGACGAAAGAGGGGAUGCUUCCGGGGCAUCCCCAAGCUUUGGAUUUUAGGUGUCCUUAGAUUAUCUUGGGGGUUCCAUGGGCAUCCCCAAGCUUAGUCUCUUGCCACUCCUUGUUCCAUAAUCCAUCAAAUCUUUACCCAAAACUUGAAAACUUCACAACACAAAACUUAAAGUAGAAAAUCUCGUGAGUUCCGUUAGCGAAAGAAAAUAAAAGACCACUUCAAGGUACUGUAGUGAACUCACUAUUUAUUUAUAUUGGUGUUAUACAUACUAUAUUACAACUUCUCUAUGGUUUAUAAACUAUUUUAUUAUCCAUAGAUUCAUCAAAAUAAGCAAACAACACACGAAAAACAGAAUCUGUCAAAAACAGAAUAGUCUGUAGUAAUCUAUAGCUAGCGCAAGAUCUGGAACCCCAAAAAUUAUAAAAUAAAUUUCUGGGAGUGAGUAAUUUAUCUAUUAAUAAUCUUAAAAAAUAAUUAACUAAAUAUCACUCUCCAAAUAAAAAUGGAAGCAGUUCUCGUGAGCGCUAAAGUUUCUGUUUUUUACAGCAAGUGUAACAAGACUUUCCCCAAGUCUUCCCAACGGUUCUACUUGGCACAAACGCUAAUUAAACACAAAAAAACACAACGAAAACAGAGGCAAGAUAAAUUAUUUAUUACUAAACAGGAGCAAAAAGCAAGGAAUAAAAAUAAAAUUGGGUUGCCUCCCAACAAGCGCUAUCGUUUAACGCCCCUAGCUAGGCAUAACAAGCAUGGAUAGAUCCUGGUAUUGCCAUCUUUGGUAGGCUAUCCAUAAGUGGAUCUCAUAAUAGAUUCAUAAGGUAAUUUAAUUUUCUUUCUAGGAAAGUGUUCCAUGCCUUUUCUUAAUGGAAAUUCAAAUCUAAUAUUUCCUUCCUUCAUAUCAAUAAUUGCACCAAUCGUUCUAAGAAAAGGUCUACCAAGAAUAAUAGGACAUGAAGGAUUGCAAUCUAUGUCAAGAACAAUAAAAUCUAUGAGCACAUAAUUCCUAUUUGCAACAAUAAUAACAUUAUUAAUUCUUCCCAUAGGUUUCUUAAUAGUGGAAUCCGCAAGGUGCAAGUUUAGAGAGCAAUCAUCAAAAUCACGGAAACCUAACAAAUCACACAAAGUCUUUGGAAUCAUGGAAACACUAGCACCCAAAUCACAUAAAGCAUAACAUUCAUGAUCUUCAAUUUUAAUUUUAAUAGUUGGUUCCCACUCAUCAUAAAGUUUUCUAGGGAUAGAAACUUCCAAUUCAAGUUUUUCUUCAUAAGAUUGCAUCAAGGCAUCAACGAUAUGUUUAGUAAACACCUUAUUUUGACUAUAAGCAUGAGGAGAAUUUAGCACGGAUUGUAACAAGGAAAUACAAUCAAUCAAAGAGCAAUUUUCAUAGUUAAAUUCCUUGAAAUCCAUAAUAGUGGGUUUAGCAACAUCUAGGGUUUUAAUUUCUUCAAUCCCACUUUUAUCAAUUUUAACAUCAAGAUCAACAAAUUCCGAAUUCUUGGAACGCCUUCUAGGUAAAGGUGGAUCAUAUUCAGUCCCAUCAUUAUCAAGAUUCAUAUUUCCAAACAAAUAUUUAAUAGGGGACACAUCAAUAACUUUUAGAUCUUCAUCAUUAUUUUCAUAGCAAUCCGGUUUAGCGGCCAUCUUAUUAACUAAGGUGGCUUGCUUAUCCGAUAUUUCAGCGGUCAACUUUUCAAGACGAGCAAUUUGGGAUCUCAAACCAUCGAAUUCUUUAGACAUAUCAUCAAGCUCUUUAUUCAUAAAACUCAUAAAACUUUUUUGUUCCUUAAGCUCAUUUCUAAAGAUACUAUUAUGUUCAAAUUGCAAAACCAUAAAGCUCCUAACAUUGCUUUCGAUCUCUUCUAAUCUUUUAAGGUGAAGAUCACCAAUUUUAGGUAGAGCCAUCGCGACAAGCAAGCAAACUAACACACAAGCAAACAAAAAGCAAGCGGGCAAAAAGAGGCAAAUAGAGAAAGAGAGGGAGGAUAGAGAGAGAGGGCGAAUAAGACGGCAAGGGUGAAGUGGGGGAGAGGAAAACGAGAGGCAAAUGGCAAAUAAUGUAAUGCGGGAGAUAAGGGUAUGUGAUGGGUACUUGGUAUGUUGACUUUUGCGUAGACCUCCCCGGCAACGGCGCCAGAAAUCCAUCUUGCUACCUCUUAAGCACUGCGUUGGUUUUCCCCGAAGAGGAAGGGAUGAUGCAGCAAAGUAGCGUAAGUAUUUCCCUCAGUUUUUGAGAACCAAGGUAUCAAUCCAGUAGGAGGCUACGCGCGAGUCCCUCGUACCUGCACAAAACAAAUAUAUCCUCGCAACCAACGCGAAUAGGGGUUGUCAAUCCCUACACGGCCACUUAUGAGAGUGAGAUCUGAUAGAUAUGAUAAGAUAAUAUUUUUGUGAUAAAGAUGCAAAGUAAAAUAAAGGCAAAGUAAAAAAGCAAAGGAAAUAACUAAGUAGUAGGAGAUUAAUAUGAUAAAGAUAGACCCCCGGGGCCAUAGGUUUCACUAGUGGCUUCUCUCGAGAGCAUAAGUAUUCUACGGUGGGUGAACAAAUUGCUGUUGAGCAAUUGACAGAAUUGAGCAUAGUUAUGAGAAUAUCUAGGUAUGAUCAUGUAUAUAAGCAUCACGUCCGAGACAAGUAGACCGACUCCUGCCUGCAUCUACUACUAUUACUCCACUCAUCGACCGCUAUCCAACAUGCAUCUAGAGUAUUAAGUUAAAAAUAGAGUAACGCCUUAAGCAAGAUGACAUGAUGUAGAGGGAUAGACUCAUGCAAUAUGAUGAAAACUGAUACUUCUCCGUCGUAUCUACUUUUCCAAACACUUUUGCCCUUGUUUUGGACUCUAACUUGUAUGAUUUUAAUGGAACUAACCCGGACUGACGCUGUUUUCAACAGAAUUGCCAUGGUGUUGUUUUAUGUGCAGAAAACAAAUAUUCUCGGAAUGACCUGAAACUCCACGGAACAUCUUAGAAAAAACAAUAAAAAAUCCUCGCCAAAGAUGAAGACCAGGGGGCCCACACCCUUCUCACAAGGGUGGGGCGCCCCCUAGGGCGCGCCCCCCUACCUCGUGGGCCCCCUGUUGCAUCUCCGACUCCAACUCCACCUCCAUAUAUUGAGUUUCGAUGAGAAAAAAAUUGGAGAGAAGAAAUCAUCGCGUUUUACGAUACGGAGCCACCGCCAAGCCCUAAAACCUCUCGGGAGGGCUGAUCUGGAGUCCGUUCGGGGCUCCGGAGAGGGGGAUUCGUCGUCGUCGUCAUCAUCAACCAUCCUCCAUCACCAAUUUCAUGAUGCUCACCGCCAUGCGUGAGUAAUUGUAUCGUAGGCUUGCUGGACAGUGAUGGGUUGGAUGAGAUUUAUCAUGUAAUCGAGUCAGUUUUGUUAGGGUUUGAUCCCUAGUAUCCAUUAUGUUCUGAGAUUGAUGUUGCUACGACUUUGCUAUGCUUAAUGCUUGUCACUAGGGCCCGAGUGCCAUGAUUUCAGAUCUGAACCUAUUAUGUUUUCAUGAAUAUAUGUGAGUUCUUGAUCCUAUCUUGCAAGUUUAUAGUCACCUACUAUGUGUUAUGAUCCGGCAACCCCGAAGUGACAAUAAUCGGGACCACUCCCGGCGAUGACCAUAGUUUGAGGAGUUCAUGUAUUCACUAUGUGCUAAUGCUUUGUUCUAGUUCUCUAUUAAAAGGAGGCCUUAAUAUCCCUUAGUUUCCAAUAGGACCCCGCUGCCACGGGAGGGUAGGACAAAAGAUGUCAUGCAAGUUCUUUUCCAUAAGCACGUAUGACUAUAUACGGAAUACAUGCCUACACUACAUUGAUGAAUUGGAGCUAGUUCUGUGUCACCCUAUGUUAUAACUGUUACAUGAUGAACCGCAUCCGGCAUAAUUAUCCAUCACUGAUCCGGUGCCUACGAGUUUUCCAUAUACUGGUUCUCGCUUAUUUACUUUCCCGCUGCUACUGUUACAAUCACUACAAAAUACCAAAAACAUUACUUUUGUUGUCUUUAUUUUUGUUGCCGCUACCACCACUAUCAUAUUACUUUGCUACUAAACACUUUGCUGCAGAUACUAAGUUUUCAGGUGUGGUUGAAUUGACAACUCGGCUGCUAAUACUUGAGAAUAUUCUUUGGCUCCCCUUGUGUCGAAUCAAUAAAUUUGGGUUGAAUACUCUACCCUCGAAAGCUGUUGCGAUCCCCUAUACUUGUGGGUUAUCAAGACCAAUUUCUGGCGCCGUUGCCGGGGAGCAUAGCUCUAUUCUUUGAGUCACUUGGGAUUUAUAUCUGCUGGACACUAUGAAGAACUUGAGAGAUCCAAAAACCAAGAUUUAUCCCUCAACUACGAGGGGAGGUAAGGAACUGCCAUCUAGCUCUGCACUUGAUUCACCUUCUGUUAUGAGUAAGUUUGUGACACCUACACCUGCUUCUGCUAUUCGUUCUGAUAUGUCACAUGUUAUUGAUAAUGCCACUUCUGCUAUGCAUGAUACUUAUGAUGAAACUGCUUCUAUGCCUGAUACUACUGUGCCCCUUAGUGAAUUUCUUGAUGAACAAAUUGCUAGGGCUAGAGAAAGAGAAAUUAUUGAAUCUGAAUACGAUGAUGAUAGUGAUGAUGAAAAUAUGCCUGUUAUUCCUGAGGGUUAUCUUUUUGAUAUGGAAUCUUCUGUCGCUAUUUUUGCUUGCAAAGAUAGAUAUGAGCUUAAGAGGUUAUUAAUUAAAUGGAACAAAGAAUCACUUAGAGAUAAAAUGAGACCUGGCCCUGCUUUUGCUACCUCACCUAUAUGUGUUCCUGAUAAGGAUUAUGAAUUCUCUGUUGAUCCUGAUAUAAUUACUUUGGUUGAAUCUGAUCCGUUUUAUGGCUAUGAAUCUUAAACUGUUGUGGCACAUCUUACUAAGUUAAAUGAUAUAGCUGCCCUGUUUACUAAUGAUGAGAGAUCGCGUUACUUCUAUAUACUCAAAAUAUUUCCAUUCUCAUUAAAGGGUGAUGCUAAGAUAUGGUUUAAUUCUCUUGAUCCUGGUUGUGUGAGUAGUCCCCAGGAUAUGAUUUAUUACUUCUCUGCUAAAUAUUUUCCUGCUCAUAAGAAACAAGCUGCUUUGAGGGAAAUAUAAAACUUUGUGCAAAUUAAAGAAGAGAGUCUCCCACAAGCUUGGGGGAGGCUUCUCAAGUUACUUAAUGCUUUGCCUGAUCAUCCUCUUAAGAAACCUGAAAUACUUGAUAUAUUUUAUAAUGGACUAACCGAUGCUUACAGAGAUUACCUGGAUAGUUGUGUUGGUUCUCUUUUCAGGGAAAGAACACCGGAUGAAGCUGAAAUUCUAUUGAAUAAUAUGUUGACAAAUGAAAAUAAUUGGGCACCUCCUGAGCCAGCUCCUGAGCCAUCUCCUGCUCCAAUUACUGAGCCUAUUCCUAAACCAACUCCGAAGAAGAGGGGUGUUCUAUUUCUCAGUCCCGAAGAUAUGCAAGAGGCAAAGAAAUCUAUGCAAGAAAAAGGUACUAAAGCUGAAGACGUUAAGAAUUUACCUCCUAUUGAAGAAAUACAUGGUCUUAAUUCACCGCCUGUUGAAGAAACAUAUGAUCUUAAUUAUUUAUUUACUGAAGAACCUCCUAAUCCCGAUAUCCCGACACAGGUAGUAAAGGUAAAUUAUCUCUAUAGAUAUGAUAAAGCUGAAGUCCCUCCUACUAAAAUUGCUAGUCAGUGCUUGGAUGAGUUUGAUAACUUUAUGUAUAAGCAAGACGACUUCAAUGCUUAUUUUGGUAGACAAUUAAGAGAGAAUGCUUAUAUGAUUAGAUGCUUGGGUGAUUAUAUGGCUAAUAUUAAAGGUGAACUUAAACUUGUUAGCAAACAUGCUUCUAUGGUUACCACUCAAGUAGAACAAGUACUUAAGGCUCAAAAAGAAGUGCUUAAUGAAAUGAAUAGUAAGAAAAAUGAUUAUGCUGUUAGAGUGGCUACUAGAACUGGUAGAAUGACUCAGGAACCUUUGUAUCCUGAAGGCCACUCUAAGAGAAUCGAGCAAGAUUCUCAAAGAAAUAAUAUUGAUGUUCCUAGUUCUUCUAAAAAGAAGAAGAAGAAAAAUGAUAGAACUGUGCAAACUUCUAGUGAACCUAUUGCUGAACCACCUGAUAAUCCAAAUGAUAUUUCUAUGUCUGAUGCUGAAACACAAUCUGGUAAUGAACAUGAACCUAGUAAAAAUAUUAAUGAUGAUGUUCAUGAUGAUGCUCAACCUAGUAAUGACAAUGAUGUAGAAAUUGAACCUGCUGUUGAUCUUGAUAACCCGCAAUCAAAGAAUCAACGUUAUGAUAAAAGAGACUUUGUUGCUAGGAAACAUGGUAAAGAAAGGGAACCUUGGGUUCAAAAACCCAUGCCUUUUCCUCCAAAACCAUCCAAGAAAAAGGAUGAUGAGGAUUUUGAGCGCUUGGCUGAAAUGAUUAGGCCUAUCUUUUUGCGUAUGCGAUUAACUGAUGUGCUCAAAACAAAUCCUUAUGCUAAAUAUAUGAAGGAUAUCAUUACUAAUAAAAGAAAGAUACUGGAAGCUGAAAUUUCCACCAUGCUUGCUAAUUAUACUUUUAAGGGUGGAAUACCAAAGAAACUUGGAGACCCCGGAGUACCUACUAUACCUUGCUCCAUUAAAAGAAAUUAUAUUAAAACAGCUCUAUGUGAUCUUGGAGCUGGUGUUAGUGUUAUGCCUCUCUCUUUAUAUCAUAGACUUGACUUGAAUAAGCUGACACCUACUGAAAUAUCUUUGCAAAUGGCUGAUAAAUCAACUGCUAUACCUGUCGGCAUCUGUGAGGAUGUGCCUGUUGUGGUUGCAAAUGUUACUAUUUUAAUGGACUUUGUUAUACUUGAUAUUCCCGAGGAUGAUAGUAUGUCUAUUAUUCUUGGAAGACCUUUUCUUAAUACUGCAGGGGCUGUUAUUGAUUGCAACAAAGGCAAUGUCACUUUUCAUGUUAAUGGUAAUGAGCAUACGGUACAAUUUCCGAGGAAACAACCUCAAGUUCAUAGCAUCAAUUCUAUUGGAAAAAUUCCAUCGAUUAUAUUUGGAGGUUUUGAAUUUCCCCUUCCUACUAUCAAGAAGAAAUAUGAUAUUCUUAUUAUUGGGGAUGUGCAUAUCCCCGUUGAGGUAACUUAGUGUUAUUCAAAAUUUCUCCGGUUUCAUGAUUAUCGGAACGGGUUUGUUAACAAGACUUGAUCAACCUUGUUAGUGGAUUCUUUUUGAUGAGCAUGAGAUGGAUGAAACUAGAAGCACAAACUUCUGUACCCUUUCUAUACUUUCUGUUAUUUAUAUUAAAUAAAGUAAAAAUAGUAUUUUCUGUCUGUUUCCUGACUUAUCCAUGCAAUAUAAAAAUAUCCCGAAAAUAAAAGUCCUCAGAAUGCCAUGCCAAUUUAAUAUGAUUUUUUUCGGGAAUAUUUGAGGAUUUACUGUGCAAAAAUUACCGCGGGAGGAGCUGCCACCUGGCCACGAGGGUGGUGGGCGCCCCCCCUAUAGGGCGCGCCCCUUGCCUCAUGGACCCAUGGUGGCCCUCCUCCACUUAUCCCAGCACCCAUCUUCUUCCUCUAUCUCACACAAACCCGAAAAACCAACUCAAGCACGAGUUCCAGCCACUUUUGCUGUGAUUUUCGAUCUCCUUGCUCGAAGCACCUCUCGCAAAACUGCUUGGGGAGAUUGUUCCUUGGUAUGUGACUCCUCCAUUGGUCCAAUUAGUUUUUUAUUCUAGUGCUUUAUUCUUUGCAAAUUUGUGCUGCAUAGGUGACCAUGUUCUUGAGCUUGCAUGUCAAAUUUAUAUGGUUCCAAGUAGUUCUAAUGCUUGAUAUAGGCUCUACGCACUUGUAGGAGUAGUUGCUAUCAGUUUUAUUGAAGUUGGUUCACUUUUGUUUGAAGUUACUAAGAAUUUCAGAUUAUUUCAGAAAAAUAAUGAGGAGAUUUUUGAGGGGCUCAUCGAGCCAAAGCUCGAAGGAAAAGGCACCGAAGCCUAAGUAUAAUUUGCCGCGCACCAUGGAGAUUCGAGCGUGUGAAUGGCCUUCUGAUGAUUUCUUGAGAGCAGCCGGUAUCUAUGAAGAUUUUCAUGAAUUGGCUCACAAUACAGGCCUCACCGCUUUCCUCCAUGACCAAUGCGAUCAGUAUCUCUUACUCACAAAUACUUUUGUGCAAAACUUUCAUUUUCAUUCUAGGAACUCACCACCUAUGGUGGAGUUUCAUUUAUAUGAUGAGCAUAAGGAGAUGUCACUUUAUGAUUUUUGUCGGAUUUGUUUAGUCCCUUUUGAGGGUAACACAGAAGAACCACAUCACGAUGAUGUGGCUGGGUUUAUUGAUACUAUCACUGUAGGAGAAACUAGGAAGGUUUCCGAUGCACGAAUCACUAGCAUACAUUUCCCUGUUUUACGUUAUUUUGCAUUAUUUGCUAGUCGUUGUUUAAUUGGACGCGGAAACUGUGGAAACCUUAGCAUCCCUGAUAUAAUUAUUCCGCACCACGGUUUAUACAGUGAUAACACUCUUAGUAUGGGCGGUAUUAUUGCUAGAUGGUUAAGUAUGAACCGUACUAAGGGUCCCAUCUUUGGAGGCAUCUAUGCCACACGCCUACCCGCACAUUUUAACAUACCUAUUAGGCAUGCUGAGAAGGAAGAAAAGGUGCUGCCCCGUGUUUAUCUAGAUCAUAAAAGUAUGGUGGCACAUGAUUUUAUUGUUAAAAAAUAGGGCAGGGGAGCUUAAAUAUCAAUUGUUCUUUAAUAAACAUCAUCCUGAGACUAUUACCUUGCCUGCUCCUUCUUUGUUUGAUUUGACUGCAGGCACGUACCUUGUUCCGUUGACGGCUAUUCACGCCUACCGGAACCCUGCACCAGUCGAGGAGCCAGAACAGGAACCGCAAGAUGAGCCUCCACGACAAUCUGUUUAUUCUUGGGAUCCAGAGAUGACUGUCAGCCAGUGACAGUCAGAGUCUUCUUCUUCAUCACAGUAUGAUCCCAACUAUCCUUCCUCAUCACAGUACGACCCCAACAACUAUUAUUAGGGAUAUCCGCCAGGCCAGCCGUGGCCAUAGACCAACUUAGGCCAAAAGCCUAACCUUGGGGGAGUACGUACCAACAUUACAUUUAUGUUCACACACACUCAUUGCUAUAUGUUGGUGCUCAUACUUUUUCACUAUAAUAUCCAUGCUAGUUUAUUUUCUUUUUCCUGCUUUAUUCUUGUGUGUUUGUUAAACCUUAAGAAAAACCAAAAAAUUAGUAGUAGUUUAUUUUUCUGCUGUAGUAGUAAUAAUUAAAAAGAAAACCCAAAAAUAUUUCCCGUUCUUCUUUUGCUUGUUGGGAGCUUCCCCGUGUAAAUAGUUUUAUUUCUUUUCUUUGGGGGUCCGUAGGGGAAGACCAUAAUUAAAUUGUUGAAGUGGCUCUUAUAUGCAUUAUUGUUGAUUUAACCCUGAGCCCAUAUUGCCUUGUCUUCUCCUGUUUAUCAAAUGCUCGCAGAUUCCAGCUUAGUCCAAUGCACGUGCACUCUUAUUAUUAUUCACACCAUUCGAUCGUGCAAGUGAAAGGCAAUUAUGAUGAUAUAUGAUGGACUGACUAAGAUGAGAAAAGCUGGUAUGAAUUCGACCUCUUUCGUUUUUGUAAAUAUGAUGAGUCUGUCGUUCUUGAUUCAGCUUAUUAUGAAUAAACAUGUUUGCAAUAACAAUUAGAGAUCAGAGUUGCUUGUGCCAUGCUUGAUUAGCUAUGAGCUAUAAUGAUUUACCUUGUAUGCCAACAUGCUAUUGAGAUGAUUAUGAUGUGGUAUGAUGGGGUGGUAUCCUCUUUUGAAUGAUUUAAGUGACUUGACUUGGCACAUGUUCACGCGUGUAGUUGAAACAAGAUCAACAUAGCCUUCACGAUAUUUAUGUUCAUGGUGGAUUAUGUCCUACUCAUGCUUGCAUCCAAUGUUUAUUAAUUUUAAUGCAUGUACAUGGCUGUUGUCGCUCUCUAGUUGGUCGCUUCCCAGUCUUUUGCUAGCCUUCACCUGUACUAAGCGGGAAUACUACUUGUACAUCCAAUCCCUUAAACUCCAAAGUUAUUCCAGAUGAGUCCACUAUACCUUCCUAUAUGUGGUAUCUACCUGCCGUUCCAAGUAAAUUUGUAUGUGCCAAACUCUAAACCUUCAAAUAAAGAUUUUGUUUUGUAUGCUCGAAUAGCUCAUGUAUCAACAAAGGUUGUCCUUAUCUUCCGUGUUGGGCGGGUUAUUCUCAAGAGGAGUGGACUCCGCUCCUCACUCACGAGAAAAUGGCUGGUCACCGGGAUGCCCAGUCCCAUGCUUUAUGCAAACUAAAUCAAAAUUAAUUGCAAACAAAACUCCCCCUGGGACCUGAUGUAUGCUGGAGGCACUCGUUGUUUCGAGCAAGCCAUGGAUUGAUGCUUGUUGGUGGAGGGGAGUAUAAACUUUACCAUUCUGUUUGGGAACCGCCUAUAAUGUGUUUAGCAUGGAAGAUAUCGCCAUCUCUUAGUUGUUACGUUGACAAUGAAAGUAUACCGCUCAAAAUACAAUUUAUCUCUAUUGCAAAACCGAGCUUUGGCACCUCUACAAAUCCUUGCUUCCCUCUGCGAAGGGCCUAUCCAUUUACUUUUAUGUUGAGUCAUCACCCUCUUAUUAAAAAGCACUAGCUAGAGAGCGCAGCCGUCAUUUGCAUUCAUCACUGUUAAUUUAUAUUGGGUAUGACUAUGAUUGGAUCUCUUUUAUCAUGAAUUACAAUGUCUAGUCAGUCCUUGAUCUUUAAAGGUGCUCUGCAUUUAUGUUUUGUGGUCUCAGAAAGGGCUAGCGAGAUACCAUCUUGUUAUAUCAUAUUAUGAUUGUUUUGAGAAAGUGUUGUCAUCCGAGAUUUAUCAUUAUGACUUGCUAGUUGAUUAUGCUAUUGAUAUGAGUAAUUAUGAGACUUGAGAAUUAUUGCAAGUGUGGUUAGUUAUGAUCUAUGCUGAAAACUUGAAUGCUCGCUUUACAUAGUUAAAACAACAAGAGCAAACAGAGUUUGUAAAAGUUUUUCUUUCUUUCUUUCAGUUUGUCAACUGAAUUGCUUGAGGACAAGCAAGGGUUUAAGCUUGGGGGAGUUGAUACGUCUCUGUCGUAUCUACUUCUUCAAACACUUUUACCCUUGUUUUGGACUCUAACUUGUAUGAUUUGGAUGGAACUAACCCGGACUGACGCUGUUUUCAGCAGAAUUGCCAUGGUGUUGUUUUAUAUGCAGAAAACAAAUAUUCUCGUAAUGACCUGAAACUCCACGGAACAUCUUAGAAAAAACAAUAAAAAAUCCUCGCCAAAUAUGAAGACAAGGGGCCCACACCCUUCUCACAAGGGUGGGGGGCGCCCCCCCCCCUAGGGCGCGCCCCUACCUCGUGGGCCCCCUGUUGCGUCUCCGACUCCAACUCCACCUCCAUAUAUUGAGUUUCGAUGAGAAAAAAACCAAAGAGAAGAAAUCAUCGCGUUUUACGAUACGGAGCCACCGCCAAGCCCUAAAACCUCUCGGGAGGGCUGAUCUGGAGUCCGUUCGGGGCUCCGGAGAGGGGGAUUCGUUGUCGUCGUCAUCAUCAACCAUCCUCCAUCACCAAUUUCAUGAUGCUCACCGCCGUGCGUGAGUAAUUGCAUCGUAGGCUUGCUGGACGGUGAUGGGUUGGAUGAGAUUUAUCAUGUAAUUGAGUUAGUUUUGUUAGGGUUUGAUCCCUAGUAUCCAUGAUGUUCUGAGAUUGAUGUUGCUACGACUUUGCUAUGCUUAAUGCUUGUCACUAGGGCCCGAGUGCCAUGAUUUCAGGUCUGAACCUAUUAUGUUUUCAUGAAUAUAUGUGAGUUCUUGAUCCUAUCUUGCAAGUCUAUAGUCACCUACUAUGUGUUAUGAUCCGGCAACCCCGAAGUGACAAUAAUCGGGACCACUCCCGGUGAUGACCAUAGUUUGAGGAGUUCAUGUAUUCACUAUGUGCUAAUGCUUUGUUCCGGUUCUCUAUUAAAAGGAGGCCUUAAUAUCCCUUAGUUUCCAAUAGGACCCCGCUGCCACGGGAGGGUAGGACAAAAGAUGCCAUGCAAGUUCUUUUCCAUAAGCACGUAUGACUAUAUUCGGAAUACAUGCCUACAUUACAUUGAUGAAUUGAAGCUAGUUCUGUGUCACCCUAUGUUAUAACUAUUACAUGAUGAACCGCAUCCGGCAUAAUUAUCCAUCACUGCUCCGGUGCCUACGAGUUUUCCAUAUACUGGUUCUCGCUUAUUUACUUUCCCGUUGCUACUGUUACAAUCACUACAAAAUACCAAAAACAUUACUUUUGUUGUCUUUACUUUUGUUGCCGCUACCACCACUAUCAUAUUACUUUGCUACUAAACACUUUGCUGCAGAUACUAAGUUUCCAUGUGUGGUUGAAUUGACAACUCGGCUGCUAAUACUUGAGAAUAUUCUUUGGCUCCCCUUGUGUCGAAUCAAUAAAUUUGGGUUGAAUACUCUACCCUCGAAAGCUGUUGCGAUCCCCUAUACUUGUGGGUUAUCAAAAAACCCAUCUUGUUAUCCUCGAUGGCAACAAUACAAUACGUGCCUUGCUGCCCCUACUGUCACUGGGAAAGGACACCGCAAGAUUGAACCCAAAGCUAAGCACUUCUCCCAUUGCAAGAAAGAUCAAUCUAGUAGGCCAAACCAAGCUGAUAAUUUGAAGAGACUUGCAAAGAUAACCAAUCAUACAUAAAAGAAUUCAGAGAAGAUUCAAAUAUUAUUCAUAGAUAGACUUGAUCAUAAACCCACAAUUCGUCGGUCUCAACAAACAUACCGCAAAAAGAAGAUUACAUCGAAUAGUUCUCCACAAGAGAGGAGGAGAACAUUGUAUUGAGAUUCAAAAAGAGAGUAAAGCCAUCUAGCUACUAACUAUGGACCCGAAGGUCUAAGGUAAACUACUCACACUUCAUCGGAGAGGCUAUGGUGUUGAUGUAGAAGCCCUCCGUGAUCGAUGUCCCCUCCGACGGAGCUCCGGAACAGGCCCAAGAUGGGAUCUCGUGGAUACAGAAAGUUGCGGCGGUGGAAUUAGGUUUUUGGCUCCGUAUCUGAUCGUUUGGGGGUACGUAGGUAUAUAUAGGAGGAAGGAGUACGUCGGUGGAGCAACAGGGGGCCCACGAGGGUGGAGAGCGCGCCUGGGGGGGGGGUAGGCGCGCCCCCUACCUCAUGGCCUCCUCUUUUGUGUCUUGACGUAGGGUCCAAGUCUUCCGGGUCUUGUUUGUUGAGAAAAUCACGUCCCCAAAGGUUUCAUUCCGUUUGGACUCCGUUUGAUAUUCCUUUUCUUCGAAACCCUAAAACAGGCAAAAAACAACAAUUCUGGGCUGGGCCUCCGGUUAAUAGGUUAGUCCCAAAAAUAAUGUAAAAGUGGAUAAUAAAGCCCAAUAAUGUCCAAAACAGUAGAUAAUAUAGCAUGGAGCAAUCAAAAAUUAUAGAUACGUUGGAGACGUAUCACAAACCUUUUACAGAGGAGGAGGUGUGACAAGCUCUCUUUUAGAUGGCUCCGUCGAAGGCCCCGGGGGUGGAUGGUUUCACGGCGGGGGUUUUCCAGCUCCAUUGGAGUUGGCUCAAAGAAGACAUUGUUCCAGCGGUGCUUGCUUUCUUAAUCGGGGAGAACUACCACCGGGGAUAAACGACACUUGUAUCACUUUGAUCCCCAAGGUACGCUUCCCACAAAGUAUCACUCAAUAUCAUCCUAUCUCUCUCUGUCCGGUUUUGUAUAAGAUCGCCUCCAAGGCCAUUGCUAACCAUCUCCGAGAGUUCUUGGAUGAUAUUGUUAGUGUUGAACAAAGUGCGUAUGUCCCUGGUCGCCUGAUUACUAACAAUGUGCUAAUUGCACAUGAGAGUGUGCAUGCCAUGAGAAGAAGGAAGAAAGGGGGGAAUGCUGUAUGUGCUAUUAAGUUGUACAUGAUGAAAGCAUACGACCGUGUAGAAUGGCACUACUUGCAAGCGAUCAUGUUGAAGCUUGGUUUUUGUAUGGAGUUUGUUCGCCUAGUCAUGAAGCGUGUUACUUCUGUCAGAUUCUCAAUUCGGGUGAAUGGUGAACUUCUGCCUUUUUUCACUCCCUCUAGGGGGCUACGACAAGGGUGCCCGGCGUCUCCGUACUUAUUCCUGCUAUGUGCGGAAGGUUUAACUUCACUUCUAAACCACUUUGGUGGUUUGAGAAUAGACAAGGGCAUUCGAGUCAGCUACCGAUCUCCGUGGAUUAAUCAUCUUCUUUUCGCGAAUGACAGUCUAAUAUUUAUGCAAGCAAAGGUGGACAGUGCCCAAAGGCUCAAUGAGAUACUGAGAAUUUAUGAGAGGGGCUCAGGGCAGGCUGUCAACAAAGAGAAAAGCUCUAUUUAUUUUAGUUCGAACACCUCUACCCCGGAUAAACUACUGCUGAAGCAAACUCUGAACAUUUCGGUGGAAGCUUUCAGCGAGCGUUACCUUGGUCUACCUACAGCUGUGGGUAGGAUCACAAGUGAUACGUUUGACCAUAUUGGAGAGAGGAUUCAAAGCAAACUCCAAGGUGGGUCGGAAAGAAUGGUUUCUUGUGCUGUAAGGGAAGUGCGCAUAAAGACUGUAGCCCAAACUAUACCUAUUUUCAGCAUGAGUUGCUUCAAGUUAACAAAGAAGGUGUGUAAGAGUCUCACUUCCUCUUUGGCUAAGUAUUGGUGGAGCAGCUCCCUGGACCGUAAUUCAAUGCAUUGGAAGGCAUGGACUGCUUUGGCAAGACUAAAAGAGAAGGGCGGAAUGGGAUUCCGGGAUCUUGAGCUUUUUAACACAUCUCUUCUCGGCAAACAUGGUUGGCGACUGAUGACGAACCCAUCAUCGCUUUGUGCUAGAGUUCUCAAAGGGAGAUAUUUUCCCACCUGUGAUUUUAUGCAAGCUACAGCCCCAUGAUUUUCCUCGGCGAUGUGGCGGGCUAUCAUUGUGGGGAGGGAUUCUUUGCAAGUCGGUCUGAUCAAACACAUAGGAGAUGGCAGAUCGGUCUCUAUAUUGGAUGAUAAGUGGAUCCCCGGUACUCUUUCUAUGACUCCGACGGUCAGAAGUAAUAAUACACAAUUGCAAACAGUCUCCGACCUUAUUGAUACGGUUAAUUGGUCGUGGAAAGCGGAUGUGGCCCGUCAAAACUUCAUUACCCCCGAUGCGGAUGCAAUUCUUAACAUCCCCCUGAGGCGGGUGGGGGCGAUGAUGUAUUUGCAUGGGCUCACGAACGGUCGGGAUGCUAUACUGUAAGAUCAGCAUAUCGUGCUCUAAUGAAUCGUAAUGAGCAUCUGGCUCUAGAGGAAGGGACGAUCACCGAGACUUCAUCGACAGACAAACAGUUAUGGUCCCGGUUAUGGAAGCUCAAGGUUUUGCCAAGGGUGAGAGUGUUCUGGUGGCGGGUGUUGCAUGGUAUUCUUCCGGCUGAAUCUACUCUCAUGUACCGCCAUAUCACAACCAUUGGCACCUGUAAACUGUGUCUUCACGCAGAGGGAGACAUGAAGCAUGCAUUGCUGGAUUGCACCCACGCGAGACGUUUUUGGAACGCGGCUCCAGACUGGCUUGACAUCAAACGACCAGAGUUGCACCCACUUACAUGGUUUUGGGAUGUUAUAUGCGAUCCUAUGUUCUCUGAGUCUGAGAGAGCAAAAAUGGUUACUGUCAUGUGGGCGAUCUGGACCUCAAGAAACAAUGCCAUGCAUGACAAGAAGGAACUUGAUCCUAUUCAGUCCAUGAAGAAAACCCUAGAAUCUCUAACUGUGCUUGAGCUACCUCGCGACUACGCGCGAAUUUUGUCGGGGCACGGUUGGAGACCGCCAGAGUUGGGCUGGAUCAAGAUCAACACUGAUGGUAGUGUCGCAAUGGAAGCUAGAAGGCGAGGGGCAGGUGGAGUCGCAAGAUCACACUCAUCCUUCCUAGCUGCAUGGUGCAAACCUUACCCAGGAAUCAUAGAUCCUCUUAUAGCCGAAGCACUCGCUCUGCGCGAUGGUGUUCUCUUUGCUCAUCUUCGAGGCUAUUCUGAGGUGGUUUUUGAGUCUGAUAAUUUGGAGAUUGUGAAUCUCUGAAACUCGCGUCACAAUGCUCGUACGGUCGUGGCGCCUAUCUUUUCCGAGAUUAGGGAGCAUGUCCUUUAUUUUAAGUCUUUUGUAAUUCAGCAUGUAGGGAGGUCAGCUAACGUUUCGGCUCACCUAUGUGCUAAACAAGCUAGCACCCUGGAUGUCACCGAAUGUUGGAUGGACUCCGUUCCGAGUCUUCUUGUAACCAGCCUCUCAGCCUCUCAGCUGGAGCUAUUAGUGUUGAAUAAAGAGCUUCCAAAUUUCUCUGCAAAAAAAAGUACAAAUAUAUUUGUUUAUUUAUGUUCAUGAAAGGUUGCUAUUCUCAAUAUGGGUAAGGUUGCAUUUGAUUAUUGGUGAAGGUUGUUGGCACACAUGUGAACUCAUCACCAACUCCAACCUUUAUAAAUAGGGAAGAUAUCAUCACUCGCCACCUCCUCGUCCACAUAUUGUUCUUUGUCUCUAUUGAAGAUGCCACCGCCAACCUUCUCUUGCUACUCAAUUGUGGACGAAAAUUUCAUUUCACAAUACCAAUUUCGCUUUAGGCUAUAAUAAUCUGAAAUUCAUUCAAUUGAUACAAAAGUCCUACUAAAGUAUAUUGUUAUAUAUUAAAAUUUGUGUCCUCUUGGAGCAUGCCUAGUUUUUCCUUUGAAGCUCCACCACUGGCACCUCCUGAUAAGUUUGGUGGGUUAAGGUCUCGUACAAUGCAAAGUGCUUAGUGGAUGUGCUUAGAGAAAUAAAUCAAUUCUUCUCUAAGCACCGGUGCUUAUUUAUAUAGGGUAGAUGCUUAAUUAAGCACCCCUCCUAUAGAAAUAAGCAUUGAUACUUAAAAAAACUCAGUUUAUUACUAAGAAUCUUUCUAAGCACUUAUCAUUGUACAAGGCCUAACAGAACAUUUGAUUAACCAGCAAUACUCUCAUUUUUUAAAUAUGUAAAAGCUUAUAAAAAACUAUUUUUCUCUCCCAUUUUAAUAAAACUAAUCUUAAUCAUUUGAUUAACCAACAAUACUCUUGUUUUCUAAAAUUGUGGAAGCUUAUAGGAUUACGAAUGCAUUAGGGUUAACAGAACACAGGAAGUUCAGAGAUUAUAGGAAUUUACAUGAUAUCUGAAGUACAAAUAUUAAGUUCAUUUAUUACGAUGGAUAGUGUAAAACAAAAAAGUCACAAACCACUUUAUUGUAUAUUUUAUCCAGUAAAUUAAGAUCAGUGCCAAAUACAUAAUUCAGCCACAAAAUAAUUCACUACAGCCAUCGUAACUAGAGCAGAAGUUUCUACCCAACCUAUCACUUUGUACAUACUACAGAUUUUGUUCAAAAUACAUAUUGCCGACUCGCAACCCGGAAAUCCGUCCGUGCUACCGGGAGCGCACGCUCCUAUGCGCGAAAAUAUUUUUUAAAAUGCCAAAAAAAAUCAACGAAAAUUCUAUGUGUUCAUUGUCACAUCCAAAUGCUACAUACAAAUUUGUAGGCAAAAAUAUUAAACAUUUUGUUCUGUGCAAAAAAGAAACACCAAAUGUUAUCUCAAAAUGUCACCCUAAUUAUUUUUUUCACGGGCAAAACACCGCCGCUCCGUUUCACAUGAAAAUUUUCAAGAAUGCUUGCGACACUAACAUGGACAUCUACAAAAAAAAUCAGAAUUUUUUAAAACAUUUACUGUAUAUUUUUUGUUUACUAUCAAUGCUGGAGCACGCGCUCCCGGGAGCUAAAACGUCAUUCUCACUGGCAAAUAUCCAAUACUUCUAGUUUUAUACGUACUGCACAUUCGUGAACCAAGCCCUCCUUAAAACAAUAUAUCAACCAGCAAUACACCCAAAUAUGUCUUUGCCUUAUUUUAAAUUGCGCGGUGAGCUUGAUUGCCAGUGCGGAGCUAUGUUGAUGCCGAAAAGAGGGGGGCCGCUGCCCCUAACCUUGGAUCAAUUCCUGAAGAAUUUUAGAAGGACUUAGAUUACAAUCUUAUAUAGCAUUUGGCAUCCCAAAUACUGAUAGUUUGUGUUUCGUCCUAGUGAUCUUCGGCUAGCUCCACCACUGUUGAUUACGUCUUAAUCAACUGUAGUACAACUACAGUCAAACAAACCUGCUUCGGAGUAUGUGUUUACAUAGAAACGAUUUCAAUAGCCUUCAAUCUGUAGUGCUGACAUGUAGAUACCAAACAUAUGACUACUUAGAGCAUCUAUAGCCGACCUCUCAAAUCCGCCUCAUACGUUCAGGCGGGCCGCCUGGUUACUGAUCGGUCACGUUUUUUCGAUCCAGAUGAACGUCUCAAAUGGGCCUCNNNNNNNNNNNNNNNNNNNNNNNNNNNNNNNNNNNNNNNNNNNNNNNNNNNNNNNNNNNNNNNNNNNNNNNNNNNNNNNNNNNNNNNNNNNNNNNNNNNNNNNNNNNNNNNNNNNNNNNNNNNNNNNNNNNNNNNNNNNNNNNNNNNNNNNNNNNNNNNNNNNNNNNNNNNNNNNNNNNNNNNNNNNNNNNNNNNNNNNNNNNNNNNNNNNNNNNNNNNNNNNNNNNNNNNNNNNNNNNNNNNNNNNNNNNNNNNNNNNNNNNNNNNNNNNNNNAAUAUAGGGCUCACGGGCACGCCCGUCACGUUGAACUGACGAAGGGGUCCCAGCCGGAAACGCCCUCAAACCCGACGGUCCGAAGCUCAUCCCCGUCGGACCGGUGGCGCCGCGUGGCGUAGCUCCGGCAGGUCGCCUAGUGCAUUGUCCGCUAUUUAAGUCGAUCAGCGGCACCGAAACCCUGCCAUGCAUCCACAUUUUCCUCCUCCUGUCCGCCGCCGCCGUCACUAUCCACUCCACCCGUCCGACUAGUAGCCAUGCCCCCACGCCGCCAGGUGAGGAGCGAGUCCUUUAUGACGCCGGAGCGCCGGCUCGAGCUCCUUGAGCAGAUCCGGGCUAGGCGUGAAGCCCGGAUCGCCGCAGGGCUACCUUCGAUGCAGUGGAUCCAGAGGAGGAGGAGGAGGUGGUGGUGGUGGAGGAGGACUUUGAAGAGGAGGGGGAUGAGCCGGAUGAGGAGGAUGUGGGGGACGCUGGCGACUGGGAUCUGCAAGCGUAGCAGCAGACCAUCCUCGAUUCCUUCCGGUCGGAGUCGGCUGCGGAGGACUUUGAAAAUGAGAGAGACGGAUGCAAAGUGGCAAAUUUGAGGCGUGUCCGGUCAGUGCCCGCGGACGCGUCCGUGGGCGUUUGAGGGACCGGAUUUGCAAAGUCCGGCUGUAGAUACUCUUACUAACAUAUAUUUUUCAUUGCGACCAUUAUGAGCACAAAAUUGAAAAAUGGAGCAUUCUGAGUAGGAAAAGACAACGUUCAUGUGCAGAUUAAAAAUUAUAUGAAUUGCUUGGUUACCUCAUUAUUUUAUGGGUCGUGCUAGACGCCGGUCCACCUGCCGAAAUUUUGGCCGUUCACUUGCCCAGCGUUCGAUAAAAGCCCGCAUAGGCGUUCGAUGGUCAUCAUCUUCGUCAUAUUGACCUCCCCCUCCCUUCACGCUUUAUUCACCGAAUCAAGGUCAAUGCAUCCACCCCCAUCCACCGUGCUGACUUGGUCGCGGACACCGCCCACCAUCCCACCAUGCUGAAAGGUCGAUGCAACAUUGUCGCUCGCCGUUGCGGGUCUUGCGGCACCGACUGCCCGUGGUUGCGGCACCUAGCAUGCACGUCGGCGCCCAUUGCAGCUCAGCUGGCCACGGUUGUAGCUCCAACGUCAACCUCGUAUAACCGCCGCACCAUGGUUGUAGCAUCAUUUGAUGCCAGUUGCAACUUUGCCGACUAUGGGCUGUAACUCUGGUAGACCGCGGUUGUAGCUCCGUCGGCCCCACGGUUGCAGCAUCCUACGCAGCCGCCUUCGACCUCGUAGCAUCGCCGUGCCAUGGUCGUAACAUCACGUGACGCCAGUUGCAGCUUCGCCGACUGCGAUUGUAGCACCCCUGUGCGGACAUUGGGAUUCGAUCCUUGUGCCAUCUCCAUGCCAUGGUGGUAGCAAAAACGAUGCCGGUCCCAACAUCUCCAAUUGACGGUUCCAGCAAAAAUCAAGGGCAGUCCAGGCAUACCCACUACGGUCCCAACAUCCCGUCACAUGGUUCCAGCAAACACCUGCUUUUCACAGGAUCCUGACGUGCGGUUCCAACAUCAUGGGGGUUGCGGUGCAAAACAUCCCCAUCCACCAUCAUCCACCAUCGUAGCAUCACCGGUGUAUGGUUCCAGCUUCACCGGUGGCCAUUUGCAGCUAGCCACGGCAUCGGUUGAAGCUUGCCACGGUGCCACACGGCCCGGAGUCGCUGGUGGGUUCGGUUCGGCAGUGCGUGCAGACUUGCAGACAUCGAGGCUACGAUGGCAGCACCUCUACGGUGGCUAGUUGCAGCAUCAUCCUGACACAACAUCAACGAGGAUGAAGGUGAGGCGCCUAUCCCCGCCAUAGCAGCAGUGUGAGGGGAGGGGUUGGAAGGAGCGGUGAGAGAGAUCUGGUUGAGGGAGGCUUUGGCUUCGGCGGUCGUUGGCGAAGAAAAAGAAUGGUGAGAAGAUAAGGACGAUAUCUAUGGGGGCGUUUCCGGUGAGAAGAUAAGGGAAAAGGAGCGGCGGUUUGUGGGUGGCGCAAGCAACGGAAGGUGCACGUGCACGGCAGCGGUGACCAGCCGAAACUGUGGUCAGUCAACCGGAUUAAAUCUUUUCCCUUAUUUUAUAAACUAAGUGACAUUAUCCUUCAAUAUCCAUUCAAACUGGACAUCAAUCCUUCGAAGAAGCAAACUUCAGAGGGAGACCGAAAAACAACAUGGAGGGAAGAGGCGACAAUACAAAAGGCGGUAUGAAGAGCGAAAGAGUUCUAAGUUUACAUCCCAGAGUUAAUGUGUAAUCUUCAUGACUCAUUCAAUUGGAAUUUGAUGAGUCAUUGUUACAUGGAUUCCCAUAACUCAUGAUCUUCUAAUAGUAAGCUUUAUCUCAUCCUUCCUAUAAGGGCAUUUCUGACCGAUCCCCUAAAAGUUAGUGCAGCAAAAGUUGGAAUAAAGUUAGUGGAGUAAAAUUUUACUCCACUAACGGUGGCCACACCUAGCCGAUCCCCUAUAGUUAGCGGAGUACAAUUAAUUUUGUGGUUGUUUUGUAUACUAGCCGCACAAACACAAUCUCCACACAAUACAUAUCUUUAAAUCAUUCAAAUUAAAGCACAAAUAGCAAUAAUCGUCAUAACAUAAAGUUUCAUAAUCACCUUGUGCUUCCAACAAUGAUUGUCAUAACAUAAAGCAAUUUGUGGCCUUGGUGCUUACUUCAGUCACCUCCACCACCUCCUCCUCGGGCACCACCUCCUCGGCCUCCUCCAUGUCUUGGGUGGUCGAAUGAUCCCAAAACAAGUCAUAGUUGAGAUUAUCAAGGCCAAUUAAUUGUGGCUGAGGACUCCAAUGAUGCAAGGAAUUCAGCCGUGUUCAUCUCCGCUCUACAAUGUCAAAGAAUGCACUAUAAAAAAUCACUACCGAUCACGAACAAUCACUAUCGAAUACCAAUGGGAUGAGAGAUUUUAUUUUAACCUUGUUGGCAUUUCAUCGAGCACUUGGCGGUCGCAUUUUUUGUUGCAGGCUGCGGCCGCCACUCACGCUGGAGCAGUCACCGCAGGGGCAGCCAGAGUUGCCACACGAGGCGUAGGCUUUGGACGAGGUGCCGCCAUGGUCUUCUUCAUCUUCUUCUUGGCGGCCGCCUAGGCGACCGCUGUGACGCCCCCGAUUCAAUCGUACACUAAUCAUACACGCAAACGUGUACGAUCAAGAUCAGGGACUCACGGGAAGAUAUCACAACACAACUCUAUAAAUAAAAUAAGUCAUACAAGCAUCAUAUUACAAGCCAGGGCCUCGAGGGCUCGAAUACAAGAGCUCGAUCAUAGACGAGUCAGCGGAAGCAACAAUAUCUGAGUACAGACAUAAGUUAAAGAAAUUUGCCUUAAGAAGGCUAGCACAAACCGGGAUACAGAUUGAAAGAGGCGCAGGCCUCCUGCCUAGGAUCCUCCUAAACUACUCCUAGUCGUCGUCAGCGGGCUGCACAUAGUAGUAGGCACCUCCCGAGUAGUAGUAGUCGUCGUCGACGGUUGUGUUUGGCUCCUGGGCUCCAACAUCUGGUUGCCACAACCAGGUAGAAGGGAAAGGGGGAAAAGAGGGAGAAAGCAACCAUGAGUACUCAUCCAAAGUACUCGCAAGCAAGGAGCUACACUACAUAUGCAUGGGUAUAUGUGUAAAGGGCCAUAUCGAUGGACUAAACUGCAGAAUGCCAGAAUAAGAGGGGCAUAGCUAAUCCUGUUGAAGACUACGCUUCUGGCAGCCUCCGUCUUGCAGCAUGUGGAAGAGAGUAGAAUGAAGUCCUCCAAGUAGCAUCGCAUAGCAUAAUCCUACCCGGCGAUCCUCUCCUUGUCGCCCUAUUAGAGAGCGAUCACCGGUUGUAUCUGGCACUUGGAAAGGUGUGUUUUAUUACGUAUCCGGUUCUAGUUAUCAUAAGGUCAAGGUACAACUCCAAGUCGUCCUGUUACGGAAGAUCACGACUAUUCGAAUAGAUUAACUUCCCUGCAGGGGUGCACCACAUAACCCAACACGCUCGAUCCCAUUUGGCCGGACACACUUUCCUAGGUCAUGCCCGGCCUCGGAAGAUCAACACGUCGCAGCCCUACCUAGGCACAACAAAGAGGUCAGCACGCCGGUCUAAAUCCUAUGGCGCAGGGGUCUGGGCCCAUCGCCCAUUGCACACCUGCACAUUGCGAGGGCGGCCGGAAGCAGAACUAGCCCCCUUAAUACAAGAGCAGGCUUACGUUCCAAUCCGGCGCGCGCCGCUCAGUCGCUGAUGUCACGAAGGCUUCGGCUGAUACCACGACAUCGAGUGCCCAUAAAUGUCCCCGCGUAGAUGGUUAAUGCAUAUAGGCCAGUGGCCAGACUCAGAUCAAAUACCAAGAUCUCGUUAAACGUGUUAAGUAUCCGCGAAUGCCGACCAGGGCCAGGCCCACCUCUCUCCUAGGUGGCCUCAACCUGCCUUGUCACUCCUCCACAAAGUAACAGUCGGGGGCCGUCGGGAACCCAGGCCCACCUCUACCAGGAUGGAGCCACCUGCCCCUUCAGCCCCCAACUCCGUACAGUACCACAUGUAAUGUAAAGUGUAAAACAUAUAGUAUAUGCCCGUGAUCACCUCCCGAAGUGAUCACGGCCCAGUAGUAUAGCAUGGCAGACGGACAAGAGUGUAGGGCCACUGAUGGAACACUAGCAUCCUAUACUAAGCAGUAGGAUAGCAGGUAAAGGUAACAACAGUAGUAGCAAGGACAAGCUAUGCAGCAGUAUAGGAUUAACGGAAAGCAGUAACAUGCUACACUACUCUAAUGCAAGCAGUAUAGAGAAGAAUAGGCGAUACCUGGUGAUCAAGGGGGGGCUUGCCUGGUUGCUCUGGCAAGAAAGAGAGGGGUCGUCAACACUGUAGUCGAACUGGGGGUCGCCAGCAGUCUCGGGGUCUACCAGAAAGAAGUAACGGAGGGGGAACACAAUAAAUAACAAAGCAAUCAAAGCAACACAAGGCAUAACAUAGCAAUACGCGGUGCUAGGUGUGCCCUAACGCAGUACUAGGUGAUACCGGGAAAGGAAGGAAACAUCCGGGAAAGGAUUCCCGGUGUUUUGGGUUUUCGGACAAAUGAACCGGAGGGGGAAAGUUGCAUGUUCGCUAUGCUAGGGAUGCGUGGAGGACGAACGGGCUGUGUAUCCAGGUUCGUCUCGUCGUUCUGAGCAACUUUCAUGUACAAAGUUUUUCCAUCCGAGCUACGGUUUAUUUUAUAUUAAUUUUAAAAGAUUUAAAUCAUUUUUAGAAUUUUUUUUAAUUAUUUUAAAUCAUCAUUAUCCAGAACAGUGCCUGGUGACGUCAGCAUGACGUAGGGGUGACGUCAGCAAUCAACGGUCCGCUGACCAGAGUCAAACCUGACCGGUGGGUCCAGUGGGACCCACCUAUCAUAGUCUGAGCCUAACUAAUCAAGUUUAAUUAGUCUAGUUAAUUGAUUAGGUUAAUUACUGAUUAGAUUAAUCUAAAAAUGAUUAAUUAACUUAAUUGAUUCCUUAAUUAGUUAAUUAAUGAAAUUAUAUAUUAAUUAAUUAAUUAAUUAAUUUACUUUUUUUAAAAUUCUUUCUCUCCUUUUUUUAAACGUUCUGGGGUCGGGCCCCUCUGUCCAGUGGCAUAGAGGCCUUAGUGGGUCGGGCGACGGGCGACUAGAAACGGGCGUAGGGCGCGGGCGUGGGCGCACGGCGACCGUGGCCGGAGCAGCGGCGCAGCGGGGCCGUGGUAGGAGGCGAGGACGGUGACGAGGGGUUGCGGUGGAGGGGUCGGCGACCAGGGUGGGUGGCAGAUGGCACGACGACAUGCAGGGCGGAGCGGGGAGGGGACGAGGCCGCGGCGGGGCGCGCGGGUCGCGGACAGCAUGGGGGGCGAGGCGAAGUGCGGUGGCAAGCCGCAGUGGAGGCGGGGUGCGCGGCCGGAGUAAAGCAGGAGCGGCGGCGGGGCAAGCGGCGGGCGCAGCGUCGCGGGCGAACAGGGGGGUCGCGGCGGCGAUGCCGAGCGCGGAGCGUAGCGCGCACGGAGCGAACGAGCGCUUGUUCUUGUGGGCGCGCGCAUGAGCGAAGGAGAGAGGAGGGCGCGAAGAGGUCCACCCGCUCGGAUGACGGCAGAGCGUGCGAGGGGGAGAGAAGGAGAGGGGGAGCUCACAAGGGCAGUAGGGAAAGGGCAGCGGGCUCGGAGAGGCUCGGGGUGGUCCGGCGACGGCGGGGCGAUGCCGGGCGACGUCGAGGCAGCGGGGACCCGCGACGGGGUCCGGCGUCAUCGCGGGCUCAGGGCGCCGGGGGCGUCGAUUGCCCCCGACCGCAUCCAUGUAGGAGGGAGGGUUGAGGAAGAGGGCGACGGCGGGAUAGCGCCGGGCGGCGUCGGCGAUGAGGCACCUGCGCCCGAUCCAGAGCGAGGGNNNNNNNNNNNNNNNNNNNNNNNNNNNNNNNNNNNNNNNNNNNNNNNNNNNNNNNNNNNNNNNNNNNNNNNNNNNNNNNNNNNNNNNNNNNNNNNNNNNNNNNNNNNNNNNNNNNNNNNNNNNNNNNNNNNNNNNNNNNNNNNNNNNNNNNNNNNNNNNNNNNNNNNNNNNNNNNNNNNNNNNNNNNNNNNNNNNNNNNNNNNNNNNNNNNNNNNNNNNNNNNNNNNNNNNNNNNNNNNNNNNNNNNNNNNNNNNNNAAAGGGGGAGUGGGGGCGAGCGGCGUGGGAGUGGGGGGGAGUGGGUGGACCGAUCUAGGUCACCGGGGGAGUGGGGUCGGUUGUAGGCGCGGUUGGGCCGGGGGGAGGGAGUUGGGUCAGCCUGGCUAGGCCAUGGCCCAGUUGGGCCGAGCGGGAGUUCUUUCUAUUUUUUGUUUUUGUUUUGUUUUUUUAAUUCUUUUACUGUUUUUCUAUUUUAUUUUAGUUCCUCUUUUACUUUAGUUUUAUAAACUAUAAAAGUAGUCCCUAAUUUAGUGUUAGUAAAUAGCUACUGCUACAUAAGUUUGGGCAACAAAAUAAAAUAGUUCAAUAUUUUAAUUAUUGUAAGAGGCAUUCAACUAAAUGUUUUUCCUACUAGUUAAAACAUUUUAGAGUAUUUUACACUUUUAUAAAAGUGUGGUUUCUCCACUAUACUUACUUAUGCAUUAUUUGGCUCACUCCGAACAUUUUAGUUUUAAUAUUUGCAAACUUUUAUUGUUUGCCCUGAUUUUGAAUUUUGAAUUCGAACCGGUUUCGAAUUAACGCGAGAUUAACAACAGUAACAGUGGUGACAAGGCAUCAUUACUAGAGGGUUACUGUAGCAUGAUUACCCGGGCGUCACAAUUCUCCCCCACUACAAGAAAUCUCGUACCGAGAUUUAAAAGGCGUAAGGGGGCACUCUGGUUAAGAAAUCCUAGAGAGGGUACUUGUUGCUAGAUGCUCUUCUCAAAUAGGUCGAUCCAUUAUGUUGAUGUCUUCAUUUCUUUGCUUCAGGUCAUUAUGAUGAAGUCGGCAUCCUUUCUUCGGGAACUCCAUCGUACGUACGACAAGGGGUAACUUCAAAAAACGGACCGCUACAAUGUUGCUUAUCUGGUAGAUAACAACAGGAAAGGUGGCGGAAGUAACUCUUGAAUUGAAACUUAAGAAAUCAUCGAGAGCAAAGUCAGAAGGUGCAAAAUGGAAGUUUCGAGCGGGCAGGCUAUAGUUCGAUGCCCGAAAUAGGGCAUGAAAGGGGUUCAAGGCAACAGGAACAAGUAUCGUGUUUGAUACCCGAAUUGAUCAUCUCUCAGAAGUGGCUCAUGAAUUUACAUAUGAUGCCACGCGCAAGGAACAACCUUAGGAUCAGGGGUGUACAGAAUAGUCAGGUUUCGAUCCUGUGGAACUAUGGGUUAUGGGCCCACCAUGUGUUAAAAGUAGAAAGAGCGGUGACAUCUUACACGGUCAUGAUAGCGAAGUAGGUCAGAGCUUAGCCUGUCAGUUAUGUUGGCAACAACGUCGGUACCAAGGGCGAGGGACGAGGAGAACCAUUUUCCUGCUCAUUGAACGAGGCAGACCGGUAGGCAAAGUUCUCGUCCAUCGGCGGUUACCGGAAAGACAUCAACAGUAGAAACAGGGUCUCACUGACAGAAUUGUACACCGAGGUGUUUACAUAAGCAGGAGAAUAUUACUGCUUAGAUCAUAUAGACCUCAAGAAGGUUAAACAGAACAAUGGAAAGGAAAAUAUGAUUAUCAGAUUAAACAGAACAAUGGAAAGGAAAAUGUGUUUAAACACAUAUUGCAGGGGUAUAUCCUUCCCAAGGACAAGCAGAGCAUGAUAUCCAUGUCAGGAUAUAAUGUAGAAAACUCUUUAGGUAAGGUGAGCAAAAUUUCAUGACUUUACCCAUACAACGGUGUUUGGAUAUUUGAGCAAGAAACAUUUAGCAUCUGGGCUUCAAAUGUUCUUGUUGAAAAUCGGAGUACCACCGACAUGCUUCGAGAUAGCAUUGACAUGGUCUUCAAGCAAAGGUCAGACUUAGGAUGUCUGAGAAGAAAAAGGUGCGACACAAAUUGACGAGAUGACAUUGUAAGAUCCUCGAGAAAUGAACUAUGGAAACGAGUUCUGAAACAAGAGUUCAUCAUUAAUCCAAGGGAAUGACGAGGGGGUGGCUGAUGGACUCAGCGACAAUUCAUCAAGAUUAACCAAAGAUGAUUUCCACAGUUAUGUGAACAAGGAGAUAACAUUAGUCAGAUCAAAUGAUAUAAUGAUGUAUGUUCGAUGUCAACAUACACAAUUGAACAAUGAUAGAAAGGUGCACCCGGAAAUCUGGACUAAGUAGCACGAUCAAUGUUCGAAUGAUGAUUCAAUAAGCAAUAGACUUUGAAACUGUAGACCAAUAACUUCAAAGCAAUAGGGUUGCUAGAAGUUUAGAAUUUACACAUCAUAGACCAUUUGUCGGUAUUCCGGUUAGAAACAACAUGGAGACCAAGAAAUGAACGCAAAAGGCGAGAGAUAUUACUAUAUCAAGAAUUCUCAAGAGGUGGUAAAAUUACCAUGACAUUCUUGACAUAAAAGGUGGUAAUAUUCCAAGGUAAAGAAGAACAAAUGCUGGAUAGCAAGGAUCUCAAGGUAUAACACAAAACACGAAUAAGUUUGUGUUGAACGGAAGGCAAUAAAGUGGUCGGUGAUAGCACAAACCAUUAAGGGGCGAGGAUGGUAUUUCUCAUCAAGAAUUCGAUAUAUAACUUGGAAGAGCUCAGGAUGUUGAUGAUGACCACGACACAUUUGUCGAGAGAUUUCAUGAAGAUGUAAUCGGUUGGCGAUGACAUCAAGUCAAAUGAUGAUGCAGUGAAAGUCAAAUAAUACUUGAAGAAGAACUCAUAAGAAGUUAUGCAGUUCCGUGAUAAUCUCGAGAUACCAGAGGGGGUAAUACUCGAUGACAGAUCAAAGUAGAGGUUGGACUGGGGUAUUUCUCUACAGAAGACAAGUGCUUAAACUUGCACGCGAAAUGGUAUUUAAAGGAGAACAUGGUCGGAACCACGAUUGCAAAAGGCCAGAUCCCAGAUAUAAGAUGAACUUAUACCAAAGGAAUAAUUUAAUUUAAGAGAAGCUUUAAUGAUAAGAUCUACAUCGUGUCCAUGGGCAUGAACACAAGGUUCAAGGUCGACUCCCACUUGUUCAACGCAUAACCUUUCAUUCACCUCUCGUAUUUUGAAAAUGACAUUAGUUGUUGAAAGUUUUACCUGGUGCAAUACCAGAUAAGUAUGACCCGUGAAAUCUUCCGGGUUUGCACAGAUUAGGGAAGGCAUUAGUUCAAACCAUCGGGUAUCUUAGGAACAUAUAUCACAAACUUCAGGAGUAAUUAACACAAGCUCGAAAGUAGAGCAUGGUUGUCAAGGCAGAGGAUACAAUUUACCAAAGGCGUUAUAUACCUAUGGAAAGGCUCACAAGGUUAUUGAAUAUUAAGGACGAUGUCGGAUGAAAUCCAACAAUGGAUCUGAUGAUCCACAACGGAGCUGAUGUGAGUAUCGGUACUCCACCAGAAGAAGAAAGAAUGGAAGGGAUCAUAUGAUAGAAACAACUGACUAACUCAAAGCCCAAUUGCACAGGAAUUAUGAUUCCAAGAUAAGGGAUCAGAAGCAAUGCUCUGAAUAGGGAUGGAUAAGUUGAAUAGUCUUAGAGGUACAAUCGUCGGCAAUUUGAUUGAUCGAGAACCUACUCAUGUUUAAAAUGGCGUCUGAGCCGGAAGGAUGAAUUCUAGGAUCUGGUUGAGGAUUGCGAACAUUCGCACUCAUUGAAUCAAUGGGCUCAAAAUGAUAGUGGCAAGGGAUGCCAAUAAGAUUACUAGACUUAUGGGGUUACCCAUAAUGCAAGCAAGUAAGAAUUUCUAGAACAACAUGCUGUUGAGGAUUUUCGAAAGAUCGAAUAGUAUUUCGAAGACUUGUGUGAAAAACAUGAACAACUGGGGAGAAACAAAUCCUCGGUAUGUGUGAGGAUUAAUUUUUAGGUGUAUUCAGGCGAGCAGAAACUACAACGCAGUAGGCACAUAGUUAUCUCGUAGCAAUAGAGAGAGUUUUGGGGUAUCUUGUAAUAACAAGAUCGAUUGGGAAUAAAAGUAAGAACGACAGGUGUAAGCAUUUAUCCAUAGGGAUAUUUCGGUGGUAGGGAAUUGCAAAAAGCAAUGGGCACAAGGUCUCGAGAAAAUAUUGGAGAGUAUCUUUGAAAUCUUCUUGUGCAGCAGACGAUCAUCUGUAACAAGGGGCUAUCCAGGAGAAAGUUGUUACGAGAACCUAAUGUUAGAGUGUAGCAAAUUCAUUUAACCUGAAUAGAAGAGAGAUCAGAGUCCCAGAGUAUAGACAAGGAGUAAAAGAUCCUAAUACCACCCAGAUGGCGACGUGGGCCCGUAAGGCACACAGCCAUGUUAGUAAAAAGUUUAGUAAUGUCUAGACUCGACUUUGGCCAAGGAGUUUGGAAGGGGGAUUCCUACAGGCAGUCCGCUCUGAUACCAACUUGUGACGCCCCCCAUUCAAUCGUACACUAAUCAUACACGCAAACGUGUACGAUCAAGAUCAGGGACUCAUGGGAAGAUAUCACAACACAACUCUACAAAUAAAAUAAGUCAUACAAGCAUCAUAUUACAAGCCAGGGGCCUCGAGGGCUCGAAUACAAAAGCUCGAUCAUAGACGAGUCAGCGGAAGCAACAAUAUCUGAGUACAGACAUAAGUUAAACAAGUUUGCCUUAAGAAGGCUAGCACAAACUGGGAUACAAAUCGAAAGAGGCGCAGGCCUCCUGCCUCGGAUCCUCCUAAACUACUCAUGGUCGUCGUCAGCGGGCUGCACGUAAUAGUAGGCACCUCCCGAGUAGUAGUAGCCGUCGGCGACGAUGGCGUCUGGCUCCUGGGCUCCAACAUCUGGUUGCGACAACUAGGUAGAAGGCAAAGGGGGAAAAGAGGGAGAAAGCAACCGUGAGUACUCAUCCAAAGUACUCGCAAGCAAGGAUCUACACUACAUAUGCAUGGGUAUAUGUGUAAAGGGCCAUAUCGGUGGAAUGAACUGCAGAAUGCCAGAAUAAGAGGGGGAUAGCUAAUCCUAUUGAACACUACGCUUCUGGCAGCCUCCGUCUUGCAGCAUGUAGAAGAGAGUAGACUGAAGUCCUCCAAGUAGCAUCGCAUAGCAUAAACCUACCCAGCGAUCCUCUCCUCGUCGCCCUAUUAGAGAGCGAUAACCGGUUGUAUCUCGCACUUGAAAGGGUGUGUUUUAUUACGUAUCCGGUUUUACUUGUCAUAAGGUCAAGGUACAACUCCAAGUCGUCCUGUUACCGAAGAUCACGGCUAUUCGAAUAGAUUAACUUCCCUGCAGGGGUGCACCACAUAACCCAACAUGCUCGAUCCCAUUUGGCCGGACACACUUUCCUGGGUCAUGCCCAGCUUCGGAAGAUCAACACGUCGCAGCCCUACCUAGGCACAACAGAGAGGUCAACACGCCGGUCUAAAUCCUAUGGCGCAGGGGUCUGGGCCCAUCGUCCAUUGCACACCUGCACGUUGCGAGGGCGGCCGGAAGCAGAACUAGCCCCCUUAAUACAAGAGCAGGCUUACGUUCCAAUCCGGCGCGCGCCGCUCAGUUGCUGACGUCACGAAGGCUUCGGCUGAUACCACGACGUCGAGUGCCCAUAACUGUCCCCGCGUAGAUGGUUAGUGCGUAUAGGCCAGUGGCCAGACUCAGAUCAAAUACCAAGAUCUCGUUAAACGUGUUAAGUAUCCGCGAACGCCGACCAGGGCCAGGCCCACCUCUCUCCUAGGUGGCCUCAACCUGCCCUAUCGCUCCGCCACAAAGUAACAGUCGGGAACCCAGGCCCACCUCUACCGGGAUGGAGCCACCUGCCCCUUCAGCCCCCAACUCCGUACAGUACCAUAGGUAAUGUAACAGUGUAAAACAUAUAGUAUAUGCCCGUGAUCACCUCCCGAAGUGAUCACGGCCCAGUAGUAUAGCAUGGCAGACGUACAAGAGUGUAGGGCCACUGAUGGAACACUAGCAUCCUAUACUAAGCAGUAGGAUAGCAGGUAAAGGUAACAACAGUAGUAGCAAGGACAGGCUAUGCAGCAGUAUAGGAUUAACUGAAAGCAGUAACAUGCUACACUACUCUAAUGCAAGCAGUAUAGAGAAGAAUAGGCGAUAUCUGGUGAUCAAGGGGGGGCUUGCCUGGUUGCUCUGGCAAGAGAGAGAGGGGUCGUCAACACCGUAGUCGAACUGGGGGUCGCCGGCAGUCUCGGGGUCUACCAGAAAGAAGUAACAGAGGGGGAACACAAUAAAUAACAAAGCAAUCAAAGCAACACAAGGCAUAGCAUAGCAAUAUGCGGUGCUAGGUGUGCCCUAAUGCAGUACUAGGUGAUACCGGGAAAGGGGGAAACAUCCGGGAAAGGAUUCCCGGUGUUUCGGGUUUUCAGACAGAUGAACCGGAGGGGGAAAGUUGCGUGUUCACUAUGCUAGGGAUGUGUGGCGGAUGAACGGGCUGCAUAUCCGGGUUCGUCUCGUCGUUCUGAGCAACUUUCAUGUAUAAAGUUUUUCCAUCCGAGCUACGGUUUAUUUUAUAUUAAUUUUAAAAGAUUUAAAUCAUUUUUAGAAUUUAUUUAAUUAUUUUAAAUCAGCAUUAUCCAGAACAGUGCCUGGUGACAUCAGCGUGACAUAGGGGUGAUAUCAGCGAUCAACGGUCCGCUGACCAGAGUCAAACCUGACCGGUGGGUCUAGUGGGACCCACCUAUCAUAGUCUAAGACUAACUAAUCAAGUUUAAUUAGUCUAGUAAAUUGAUUAGGUUAAUUACUGAUUAGAUUAACCUAAAAAUGAUUAAUUAACUUAAUUAGUUCCUUAAUUAAUUAAUUGGUUAAUUAGUUAAUUAAUGAAAUUAUUUAUUAACUAUUUAUUUAUUUAUUUUACUUUUUUUAAAAUUCUUUCUCUCCUUUUUUAAACGUUCUGGGGCCGGGCCCCUCUAUCCAGUGGCACAGAGGCCUUAGUGGGUCGGGCGACGGGCGACUAGAAACGGGCGCAGGGCGCGGGCGUGGGCGCACGGCGACCGUGGCCGGAAGAGCAGCGCGGCGAGGCCGUGGUAGGAGCGGGGACGGCGACGAGGGGUUGCGGUGGAGGGGUCGGCGACCAGGGCGGGUGGCAGAUGGCCCGACGACGUGCAGGACGGAGCGGGGAGGGGACGAGGCCGCGGCGGGGCACGCGGGUCGCGGACAGCAUGGGGGGGGGGCGAGGCGAAGUGCGGUGGCAAGCCACAGUGGAGGCGGGGUGAGUGGUCGGAGUAGAGCAGGAGCGGCGGCGGGGCAAGCGGCGGGCGCAACGUCGCGGGCGAACAGGGGGGGUCACGGCGGCGAUGCCGAGCGCGGAGCGUAGCGCACACGGAGUGGACGAGCGCUUGUUCUUGUGGGCGCGCGCAUGAGCGAAGGAGAGAGGAGGGGCACGAAGAGGUCCACCGGCUCGGACGGCGGCGGAGCGUGCAAGGGGGAGAGAAGGAGACGGGGAGCUCACGAGGGCAGUAGGGAAAGGGCAGCGGGCUCGGAGAGGCUCGAGGUGGUCCGGCGACGGCGGGGCGAUGCCAGGCGACGUCGAGGCAGCGGGGACCCGUGACGGGGUCCGGCGUCAUCGCGGGCUCAGGGCACCGGGGGCGUCGAUUGCCCCCGACCGCAUCCACGUAGGAGGGAGGGUUGAGAAAGUGGGCGAUGGCGGGAUAGCGCCGGGCGGCGUCGGCGAUGAGGCACCUGCGCCCGAUCCAGAGCGAGGGGAGGCAGAGGGGGAGUGGGGGCGAGCGGCGUGGGAGUGGGGGGAAUGGGUGGACCGAUCUAGGUCACCGGGGGAGUGGGGUGGGUUGUAGGCGCGGUUGGGCCGGGGGGAGGGAGUUGGGUCGGCCUGGCUGGGUCAUGGCCCAGUUGGGCUGAGCGGGAGUUCUUUCUAUUUUUUUGUUUUUAUUUUGGUUUUUAUUCUUUUACUGUUUUUCUAUUUUAUUUUAGUUCCUCUUUUACUUUAGUUUUAUAAACUAUAAAAGUAGUCCCUAAUUUAGUGUUAGUAAAUAGCUACUGCCACAUAAGUUUGGGCAACAAAAUAAAAUAGUUCAAUAUUUUAAUUAUUGUAAGAGGCAUUCAACUAAAUGUUUUUGCUACUGGUUAAAACAUUUUAGAGUAUUUUACACUUUUAUAAAGGUGUGGUUUCUCCACUAUACUUACUUAUGCAUUAUUUGACUCACUCCGAACAUUUUAGUUUUAAUAUUUGAAAACUUUUAUUGUUUGCCCUGAUUUUGAAUUUUGAAUUCGAACCGGUUUCGAACUAACGCAAGAUUAACAACAGUAACAAUGGUGACAAGGUAUCAUUACUAGAGGGUUACUGUAGCAUGAUUACCCGGGCGUCACAACCGCCGUCGGCUUUCGAGCCUGUUUGCCUCCGGUUGGUGCGGCGGUAGGGCGGCAUGCCGUUGCUGGAGACGCGGUAGCCACCUUGGACACCAUUGGCGUGGUUGGAGGCGAUGCUUGGACCCGGUGGUUCUUUCUCAUCCCCAAGCUUUCUUUCGGCACCGGCACCGAUGCAUGGGUGGUUUUCGGCGCGGAUGGCCGGCGGGGUGAGAGGGGGGAAGGGGGUUGGCUAUCCAUUCCGGACGGCUUGAAGGUCAUCAGUGGCGGCGGUGGGGGCGGGGUGCAGUGCGACGCUGGAGGGCCAGAGGGAGUUUUACUCGGCCGCCGCACAAUGAAGUAUAUUUAGGGAAAUUUUGGGAGGAAUAGAGAGUUGAAGUAAAAAGUAUACUUUGUUAACAUUUUUAGGGAUCGUUUAGGUCUGCCGUAAGGGAGUACUCCCUUAUAUCGGUUAGAAAUGCUCUAACCGUCCAAAAUAAGCACAGUAGUGUAAAUGUAUGAGUAAAAUGCACUGGCGGUACUUGAACUUGAGAAGAAAGCACGCUUUGGUCACUGUACUUCAAAAUACGACCAAUACAGUCACUCAAUACGCCUACACAUGAUUAUACGGUCACUGUUCACCGUACGCCACUCGUCGCCGCUCCAUUUGACCAAUCCGAGGUGACAGCUGGCGUUUGCGGGGGGUUAUUUAUGUAAAUUCACCAUUUGUGCAUCUAAUUUCAUCCACCGCCCUGAAAUAUCAGUCCCGAAUCCCUAAUUCCCCACUCCCUCCCCCUGCUGCUUUCCGCCGAGGCCGACGCCCUCCCCUGCUGCUUGCCGCCGCCCCCCUCUUCCCUGCUGCUUGCCGCCGCCCUCUUCCAGCAGCUUGCUGCCAUCACCGCCGCCCUCUUCACCACUCCACCAUGUCGAUAAGCUCGGUUAGGUCAUCGCUCCGUAGCCGUUCGGUGGUGGUGCCACUCAUAAGAUGCCCUUUUUGCCCUGCUCGUGUGAAGUUCUAUGUGUCGAACACGGAGAAGCACGGGGGCUGGGUCUUCUACAUGUGUCCUGUUAGUGUAAGUGAUUUUUGCCGUUGCCGUUUGCUAAUAUUGGUGGAUUUUUGUGGAAGUUGUGAUGGUGAUUUCUGGCGUCUAUUCUUUUCUUUUGAUCUUCAGGACCAUUUCUGGCAUUGGGAGUUGGAGUACGUUGUCUACUUGGUGGAUAAUCACUUUCUCGUUGGCAAUGAAGCCGUAGAUGCAUUAGGAGCUGCAGAGGAUAAGAGGGAAGAGCUGAUGCGAGCAAGGAAUCGAAGAUAUGCAGGUGGAGGUGCAGUUGAUCUUCCAAGGGAUGGAAGUAGAUAUGCAGAUGGAGGUGCAACUCAAAUGAGCAAUCAGCAAGCAGAGGCACUCAUAGCGUUAGCCAAUCAAAUAUUAGUCAUGAUGAAGGCACUGGUGGUAGCACUCAUUGUAGUUGCAGUGCUGCUAGCCAUUUCUAUGCUGAAGAAGUGAUUGAGUUGAUGCAGUGUUUCCAGUAUCAUGAUGCCUAGUUUGUUAGGAGAUGAACUGGUAGUUGAUGUAGCUUGUUUGGAGAUGAACUGGUAGUUGAUACCUAGUUACUCUUUGUUAUGUGAUGCUUUUGCAUUGUAAGUCUGAAGUUGUAGUUGAUGUAGUUAUCCAACAUUCUAAGUGAUGCUUUUGCCACCCUGUAAGCAAGUGUCUAUCUUUUACUGCAAAUGGAAGUUAAUUUGGCAAGUGUCUAUCUUUUACUGCAAAUGCAAGUUGAUUCUGUGUACAUCUUGCUGUCGUAUGAAUUUAAUGUGGUGCAAGUUAUCAUCUUGCUGUCAUAUGAAGUUAAUGUUUGAAGCUGUUGAUGCUGUCAUAUGAAGAUAUGAAGUUAAUAUUGUCUUAUAUGAACAUAUGCAUAACCAAUAACAUGCAUAACCAGUAAUGUUGUCUUAUGAAGAUAGGAAGCAGCAUCAAAGUUAUGGUUUGCAAACAAUUCAGAACAUAACAUAUCUGGGAAGUACCAACAAUUCAGAACAUAACCAGCAUUCAGUUACAAAAUGAUCUUGGAAGUACCAACAAUUCAGAACAUAUCCAUCAUUCAGGUACAAAAUGAUCAACAAUUGAUCCAUACUCAUGUGUACACAUCAGUAUGGAUCAAUUAUAACAUUUCUCAUGCCUUGGAGUUUAAGAAGUAUAUCAUCUAAAGAUGUCAAACAUUGAAGUGCCUCUUGUAUUACUGGGAAGCACAAGAUCAUCAUCUGAAACAGGCUCUAGACCUGCAGGCCUCUUGCCAAGAGCAAUACCUAUAUGCUUUGCAGAACCCUCCUUGAUCAUCAAGUUGGACAAAAAAGGAGCUGCCUGGGUUACUUCUCCUAAGUUCAUUUCCAUAGUCCCAUAGCAAACUGUAUUGGGCCUCUUCAUCACCAUAUAUAAUCUUCAUUGCUAUCCUUCUAGCUCUUUGCAACUUGAUCCUAGAUGGUGUCAUAUGCCAUUCCUUCUGAACUACUCUUGAAAAGUUCCUCAGAUUCAUAUCUUGGUCAGCUCUAAAGCUCUCAAGGUACUUGUGUGCUAAGAAAGGAGCAGUGAAAGCCUUGAUCUUCCACUUCUUGGUACAUGUGUGUUCACGUACAUAUUUCUUGACCAUGAAACACUUUGUCCUACUAUCAUAAGAGGCCCAAAGGUACCAAGUACAAUCCUCAUCACAAGUUGCCUUCACCCUUUUCUUGUCAUUUACAGGGAGCUUCACAUCAACUCUGUUCUUGCAACUGUAUUCCUUGAUUGCUUUCCUGAGUAACUCAACAGUCUGGAAGACUUGCCCAACAUGAAAUUUGGGGCAGUGUAGGUCCUCAGCUCUAAAUGCCUUGAACUUCAUGUAAAUUUCUUCAUCAUCUGAGUCAGGGGCCCACAAGUCAUCUCCUUCUGACUCAUACAACUCAUCUUUAGGAUCAUGUGCUACUGGCUCAUGUGCUUCUUUCUCAUUUCCUUUAACAGGCACUUUCUUUUGGGUAACGUAGUAAUUUCAAAAAAAUUCCUACGCACACGCAAGAUCAUGUGAUGCAUAGCAACGAGAGGGGAGAGUGUGAUCUACGUACCCUUGUAGAUCGACAACGGAAGCGUUAGCACAACGUGGUUGAUGUAGUCGUACGUCUUCACGGCCCGACCGAUCAAGCACCGAAACUACGGCACCUCCGAGUUCUAGCACACGUUCAGCUCGAUGACGAUCCCCGGACUCCGAUCCAGCAAAGUGUCGAGGAAGAGUUCCGUCAGCACAACGGCGUGGUGACGAUCUUGAUGUACUACCGUCGCAGGGCUUCGCCUAAGCACCGCUACAAUAUUAUCGAGGACUAUGGUGGAAGGGGGCACCGCACACGGCUAAGAAUAUGAUCACGUCGAUCAACUUGUGUCUCUAGGGGUGCCCCCUGCCUCCGUAUAUAAAGGAUCAAAGGGGGUGUGGCCGGCCAGGAGAGGGCGUGCCAGGAGGAGUCCUACUCCCUCCGGGAGUAGGAUUCCCCACCCCCCUUUCCUAGUUGGAAUAGGAUUCGGGAGGGGGGAAAGAAGAGAGAGAGAGAGAAGAAAAGGGGGGGCACCGCCCCCCUCUCCUUGUCCUAUUCAGACUAGGGGGCGAGGGGCGCGCGGCCCAGCCCUGGCCACCUCUCCUCUCUUCCACUAAGGCCCAUAUACCUCCCGGGGGGUUCCGGUAACCUUCUGGUACUCCGGUAAAAUCCCGAUUUCACCCGGAACACUUCCGAUAUCCAAAUAUAGGCUUCCAAUGUAUCAAUCUUUAUGUCUCGACCAUUUCGAGAGUCCUCGUCAUGUCCCCGAUCCUAUCCGCGACUCCGAACUCCUUCUGUACAUCAAAACUCAUAAACUCAUAAUAUAACUGUCAUCGAAACCUUAAGCGUGCGGACCCUACGGGUUCGAGAACAAUGUAGACAUGACCGAGACACGUCUUCGGUCAAUAACCAAUAGCGUAACCUGGAUGCUCAUAUUGGCUCCUACAUAUUCUACGAAGAUCUUUAUCGGUCAGACCGCAUAACAACAUACGUUGUUCCCUUUGUCAUCGGUAUGUUACUUGCCCGAGAUUCGAUCGUCGGUAUCUUAAUACCUAGUUCAAUCUCGUUACCGGCAAGUCUCUUUACUCGUUCCCUAAUACAUCAUCUCACAACUAACUCAUUAGUUGCAAUGCUUGCAAGGCUUAUGUGAUGUGUAUUACCGAGAGGGCCCAGAGAUACCUCUCCGACAAUCGGAGUGACAAAUCCUAAUCUCAAAAUACGCCAACCCAACAUGUACCUUUGGAGACACCUGUAGAGCACCUUUAUAAUCACCCAGUUACGUUGUGACGUUUGGUAGCACACAAAGUGUUCCUUCGGCAAACGGGAGUUGCAUAAUCUCAUAGUCAUAGGAACAUGUAUAAGUCAUGAAGAAAGCAAUAGCAACAUACUAAACGAUCGGGUGCUAAGCUAAUGGAAUGGGUCAUGUCAAUCAGAUCAUUCACCUAAUGAUGUGAUCCCGUUAAUAAAAUAACAACUCUUUGUCCAUGGUUAGGAAACAUAACCAUCUUUGAUUAACGAGCUAGUCUAGUAGAGGCAUACUAGUGACACUCUGUUUGUCUAUGUAUUCACACAUGUAUUAUGUUUCCGGUUAAUACAAUUCUAGCAUGAAUAAUAAACAUUUAUCAUGAUAUAAGGAAAUAAAUAAUAACUUUAUUAUUGCCUCUAGGGCAUAUUUCCUUCAGUCUCCCACUUGCACUAGAGUCAAUAAUCUAGAUUAUACAGUAAUGAUUCUAACACCCAUGGAGCCUUGGUGCUGAUCAUGUUUUGCUCGUGGAAGAGGCUUAGUCAACGGGUCUGCUACAUUCAGAUCCGUAUGUAUCUUGAAAAUCUCUAUGUCUCCCACCUGGACUAGAUCCCGGAUGGAAUUGAAGCGUCUCUUGAUGUGCUUGGUUCUCUUGUGAAAUCUGGAUUCCUUUGCCAAGGCAAUUGCACCAGUAUUGUCACAAAAGAUUUUCACUGGACCCGAUGCACUAGGUAUGACACCUAGAUCGGAUAUGAACUCCUUCAUCCAGACUCCUUCAUUUGCUGCUUCCGAAGCAGCUAUGUAUCAUUCUUCACACGUAGAUCCCGCCACGACGCUUUGUUUAGAACUGCACCAACUGACAGCUCCACCGUUUAAUGUAAAUACGUAUCCAGUUUGCGAUUUAGAAUUGUCCGGAUCAGUGUCAAAGCUCGCAUCGACGUAACCAUUUAUGAUUAGCUCUUUGUCACCUCCAUAAACGAGAAACAUAUCCUUAGUCCUUUUCAGGUAUUUCAGGAUGUUCUUGACCGCUGUCCAGUGAUCCACUCCUGGAUUACUUUGGUACCUCCCUGCUAGACUUAUAGCAAGACACACAUCAGGUCUGGUACACAGCAUUGCAUACAUGAUAGAGCCUAUGGCUGAAGCAUAGGGAACAUCUUCCAUUUUCUCUCUAUCUUCUGCAGUGGUCGGGCAUUGAGUCUGACUCAACUUCACACCUUGUAACACAGGCAAGAACCCUUUCUUUGCUUGAUCCAUUUUGAACUUCUUCAAAACUUUGUCAAGGUAUGUGCUUUGUGAAAGUCCAAUUAAGCGUCUUGAUCUAUCUCUAUAGAUCUUAAUGCCUAAUAUGUAAGCAACUUCACCGAGGUCUUUCAUUGAAAAACUCUUAUUCAAGUAUCCCUUUAUGCUAUCUAGAAAUUCUAUAUCAUUUCCAAUUAGUAAUAUGUCAUCCACAUAUAAUAUCAGAAAUGCUACAGAGCUCCCACUCACUUUCUUGUAAAUACAGGCUUCUCCAAAAGUCUGUAUAAAACCAAAUGCUUUGAUCAAACUAUCAAAGCGUUUAUUCCAACUCCGAGAGGCUUGCACCAGUCCAUAAAUGGAUCGCUGGAGCUUGCACACUUUGUUAGCUCCCUUUGGAUCGACAAAACCUUCUGGUUGCAUCAUAUACAACUCUUCUUCCAGAAAUCCAUUCAGGAAUGCAGUUUUGACAUCCAUCUGCCAAAUUUCAUAAUCAUAAAAUGCGGCAAUUGCUAACAUGAUUCGGACAGACUUAAGCAUCGCUAGGGGUGAGAAGGUCUCAUCGUAGUCAAUCCCUUGAACUUGCCGAAAACCUUUUGCGACAAGUCGAGCUUUGUAGACAGUAAUAUUACCGUCAGCGUCCGUCUUCUUCUUGAAGAUCCAUUUAUUCUCAAUUGCUUGCCGAUCAUUGGGCAAGUCAACCAAAGUCCAUACUUUGUUCUCAUACAUGGAUCCCAUCUCAGAUUUCAUGGCUUCAAGCCAUUUUGCGGAAUCUGGGCUCACCAUCGCUUCUUCAUAGUUCGUAGGUUCAUCAUGAUCUAGUAGCAUGACUUCCAGAACAGGAUUACCAUACCACUCUGGCGCGGAUCUCACUCUGGUUGAUCUACGAGGUUUAGUAGUAUCUUGUUCUGAAGUUUCAUGAUCAUUAUCAUUAGCUUCCUCACUAAUUGGUGUAGGUGUCACAGAAACAAGUUUCUGUGAUGUACUACUUUCCAAUAAGGGAGUAGGUACAGUUACCUCGUCAAGUUCUACUUUCCUCCCACUCACUUCUUUUGAGAGAAACUCCUUCUCCAGAAAGUUUCCGAAUUUAGCAACAAAAGUCUUGCCUUCGGAUCUGUGAUAGAAGGUGUAUCCAAUAGUUUCCUUUGGAUAUCCUAUGAAGACACAUUUUUCCGAUUUGGGUUCAAGCUUAUCAGGUUAAAGCUUUUUCACAUAAGCAUCGCAGCCCCAAACUUUCAGAAACGACAACUUUGGUUUCUUGCCAAACCACAGUUCAUUAGGCGUCGUCUCAACGGAUUUUGAUGGUGCCCUAUUUAACGUGAAUGCGGCCGUCUCUAGAGCAUAUCCCCAAAAUGAUAGCGGUAAAUCAGUAAGAGACAUCAUAGAUCGUACCAUAUCUAGUAAAGUACGAUUACGACGUUCGGACACACCAUUACGUUGUGGUGUUCCGGGUGGCGUGAGUUGCGAAACUAUUCCACAUUGUCUCAAAUGUACACCAAACUCGUAAUUCAAAUAUUCUCCUCCACGGUCAGAUCGUAGGAAUUUUAUUUUCUUGUUACGAUGAUUUUCAACUUCACUCUGAAAUUCUUUGAACUUUUCAAACGUUUCAGACUUGUGUUUCAUUAAGUAGAUAUACCCAUAUCUGCUUAAGUCAUCUGUGAGGGUGAGAAAAUAACGAUAUCCGCCACGAGCCUCAACAUUCAUCGGACCACAUACAUCUGUAUGUAUGAUUUAUAACAAAUCUGUUGCUCUCUCCAUAGUACCGGAGAACGGUGUUUUUGUCAUCUUACCCAUAAGGCAUGGUUCGCAAGUACCAAGUGAUUCAUAAUCAAGUGGUUCCAAAAUCCCAUCAGUAUGGAGUUUCUUCAUGCGCUUUAUACCGAUAUGACCUAAACGGUAGUGCCACAAAUAAGUUGCACUAUCAUUAUCAACUCUGCAUCUUUUGGUUUCAACACUAUGAAUAUGUGUGUCACUACUAUCGAGAUUUAAUAAGAAUAGACCACUCUUUAAGGAUGCAUGACCAUAAAAGAUAUUACUCAUGUAAAUAGAACAACCAUUAUUCUCUGAUUUAAAUGAAUAACCGUCUCGCACCAAACAAGAUCCAGAUAUAAUGUUCAUGCUUAACGCUGGCACCAAAUAACAAUUAUUUAGGUCUAAUAUUAAUCCCGAAGGUAGAUGUAGAGGUAGCGUGCCGACUGCGAUCACAUCGACUUUGGAACCAUUUCCCACGCGCAUCGUCACCUCGUCCUUAGCCAAUCUUCGCUUAAUCUGUAGUCCCUGUUUUGAGUUGCAAAUAUUAGAAACAGAACCAGUAUGAAAUACCCAGGUGCUACUGCAAGCAUUAGUAAGGUACACAUCAAUAACAUGUAUAUCACAUAUACCUUUGUUCACCUUGCCAUCCUUCUUAUCCGCCAAAUACUUGAGGCAGUUCUGCUUCCAGUGACCAGUCUGCUUGCAGUAGAAGCACUCAGUUUCAGGCUUAGGUCCAGGUUUGGGUUUCUUCUCUUGAGCAGCAACUUGCUUGCUGUUCUUUUUGAAGUUCCCCUUCUUCUUCCCUUUGCCCUUUUUCUUGAAACUAGUGGUCUUGUUGACCAUCAACACUUGAUGCUCCUUCUUGAUUUCUACCUCCGCAGCUUUCAGCAUUGCGAAGAGCUCGGGAAUAGUCUUAUUCAUCCCUUGCAUAUUAUAGUUCAUCACGAAGCUCUUGUAUCUUGGUGGCAGUGAUUGGAGAAUUCUGUCAAUGACGCAAUCAUCUGGAAGAUUAACUCCCAAUUGAAUCAAGUGAUUAUUAUACCCAGACAUUUUGAGUAUAUGCUCACUGACAGAACUGUUCUCCUCCAUCUUGCAGCUAUAGAAUUUAUUGGAGACUUCAUAUCUCUCAAUCCGAGCAUUUGCUUGAAAUAUUAACUUCAACUCCUGGAACAUCUCAUAUGCUCCAUGACGUUCAAAACAUCGUUGAAGUCCCGAUUCUAAGCCGUAAAGCAUGGCACACUGAACUAUCGAGUAGUCAUCAGCUUUGCUCUUCCAGACAUUCAUAACAUCUGGUGUUGCUCCAGCAGCAGGCCUGGCACCCAGUGGUGCUUCCAGGACGUAAUUCUUCUGUGCAACAAUGAGGAUAAUCCUCAAGUUACGGACCCAGUCCGUGUAAUUGCUACCAUCAUCUUUCAACUUUGCUUUCUCAAGGAAUGCAUUAAUAUUCAACGGAACAACAGCAUGGGCCAUCUAUCUACAAUCAAACAUGAAUAAGCAAGAUACUAUCAGGUACUAAGUUCAUGAUAAAUUUAGGUUCAAUUAAUCAUAUUACUUAAAGAACUCCCACUUAGAUAGACAUCCCUCUAAUCCUCUAAGUGAUUACGUGAUCCAAAUCAACUAAACCAUGUUCGAUCAUCACGUGAGAUGGAGUAGUUUCAUUGGUGAACAUCACUAUGUUGAUCAUAUCUACUAUAUGAUUCACACUCGACCUUUCAGUCUCCGUGUUCCGAGGCCAUAUCUGUAUAUGCUUGGCUCGUCAAGUAUAACCUGAGUAUUCCGCGUGUGCAACUGUUUUGCACCCGUUGUAUUUGAACGUAGAGCCUAUCACACCCGACCAUCACGUGGUGUCUCAGCACGAAGAACUUUCGCAACGGUGCAUACUCAGGGAGAAAACUUCUUGAUAAUUAGUGAGAGAUCAUCUUAUAAUGCUACCGUCAAUCAAAGCAAGAUAAGAUGCAUAAAAGAUAAACAUCACAUGCAAUCAAUAUAAGUGAUAUGAUAUGGCCAUCAUCAUCUUGUGCUUGUGAGCUCCAUCUUCGAAGCACCAUCAUGAUCACCAUCGUCACCAGCGUGACACCUUGAUCUUCAUCGUAGCAUCGUUGUUGUCUCGCCAAUCUUAUGCUUCCACGACUAUCGCUACCGCUUAGUGAUAAAGUAAAGCAUUACAGCGCGAUUGCAUUGCAUACAAUAAAGCGACAACCAUAUGGCUCCUGCCAGUUGCCGAUAACUCGGUUACAAAACAUGAUCAUCUCAUACAAUAAAAUUUAGCAUCAUGUCUUGACCAUAUCACAUCACAACAUGCCCUGCAAAAACAAGUUAGACGUCCUCUACUUUGUUGUUGCAAGUUUUACGUGGCUGCUACGGGCUUAAGCAAGAACCAAUCUUACCUACGCAUCAAAACCACAACGAUAGUUUGUCAAGUUGGUUCUAUUUUAACCUUCGCAAGGACCGGGCGUAGCCACACUCGGUUCAACUAAAGUUGGAGAAACUGUCACCCGCUAGCCACCUUUGUGCAAAGCACGUCGGGAGAACCGGUCUCGCGUAAGCGUAUGCGUAAUGUCUGUCUGGGCCGCUUCGUCCAACAAUACCGCCGAACCAAAGUAUGAAAUGCUGGUAAGCAGUAUGACUUAUAUCGCCCAUAACUCACUUGUGUUCUACUCGUGCAAAUAACAUCAACACAUAAAACCUAGGCUCGGAUGCCACUGUUGGGUAACGUAGUAAUUUCAAAAAAAUUCCUACGCACACGCAAGAUCAUGUGAUGCAUCGCAACGAGAGGGGAGAGUGUGAUCUACGUACCCUUGUAGAUCGACAACGGAAGCGUUAGCACAACAUGGUUGAUGUAGUCGUACGUCUUCACGGCCCGACCGAUCAAGCACCGAAACUACGGCACCUCCGAGUUCUAGCACACGUUCAGCUCAAUGACGAUCCCCGGACUCCGAUCCAGCAAAGUGUCGGGGAAGAGUUCCGUCAGCACGACGGCAAGGUGACGAUCUUGAUGUAUUACCGUCGCAGGGCUUCGCCUAAGCACCGCUACAAUAUUAUCGAGGACUAUGAUGGAAGGGGGCACCGCACACGGCUAAGAAUAUGAUCACGUCGAUCAACUUGUGUCUCUAGGGGUGCCCCCUGCCUCCGUAUAUAAAGGAUCAAAGGGAGGGGUGUGGCCGGCCAGGAGAGGGCGCGCCAGGAGGAGUCCUACUCCCUCCGGGAGUAGGAUUCCCCCCCCCCUUUCCUAGUUGGAAUAGGAUUCGGGAGGGGGGAAAGAAGAGAAAGAGAAGAAAAGGGGGCGCCGCCCCCUCUCCUUGUCCUAUUCGGACUAGGGGGGAGGGGCGCGCGGUCCAGCCCUGGCCACCUUUCCUCUCUUCCACUAAGGCCCACUAAGGCCCAUAUAACUCCCGGGGGGUUCCGGUAACCUUCCGGUACUCCGGUAAAAUCCCGAUUUCACCCGGAACACUUCCGAUAUCCAAAUAUAGGCUUCCAAUAUAUCAAUCUUUAUGUCUCGAACAUUUCGAGACUCCUCGUCAUGUCCCCGAUCCUAUCCGGGACUCCGAACUCCUUCGGUACAUCAAAACUCAUAAUAUAACUGUCAUCGAAACCUUAAGCGUGCAGACCCUACGGGUUCGAGAACAAUGUAGACAUGACCGAGACACGUCUCCGGUCAAUAACCAAUAGCGUAACCUGGAUGCUCAUAUUGGCUCCUACAUAUUCUACGAAGAUCUUUAUCGGUCAGACCGCAUAACAACAUACGUUGUUCCCUUUGUCAUCGGUAUGUUACUUGCCCGAGAUUCGAUCGUCGGUAUCUUAAUACCUAGUUCAAUCUUGUUACCGGCAAGUCUCUUUACUCGUUCCGUAAUACAUCAUCUCACAACUAACUCAUUAGUUGCAAUGCUUGCAAGGCUUAUGUGAUUUGUAUUACCGAGAGGGCCCAAAGAUACCUCUCCGACAAUCGGAGUGAUAAAUCCUAAUCUCGAAAUACGCCAACCCAACAUGUACCUUUGGAGACACCUGUAGAGCACCUUUAUAAUCACCCAGUUACGUUGUGACGUUUGGUAGCACACAAAGUGUUCCUCCGGCAAACGGGAGUUGCAUAAUCUCAUAGUCAUAGGAACAUGUAUAAGUCAUGAAGAAAGCAAUAGCAACAUACUAAACGAUCGAGUGCUAAGCUAAUGGAAUGGGUCAUGUCAAUCAGAUCAUUCACCUAAUGAUGUGAUCCCGUUAAUCAAAUAACAACUCUUUGUCCAUGGUUAGGAAACAUAACCAUCUGUGAUUAACGAGCUAGUCUAGUAGAGGCAUACUAGUGACACUCUGUUUGUCUAUGUAUUCACACAUGUGUUAUGUUUCCGGUUAAUACAAUUCUAGCAUGAAUAAUAAACAUUUAUCAUGAUAUAAGGAAAUAAAUAAUAACUUUAUUAUUGCCUCUAGGGCAUAUUUCCUUCACUUUCUUUUUUUGUUCCUUCUGCUUCUCUUUCAAGUUUCUGUCUUUAGGCUCAUCCAUAUCCACAUUAUCAGCAUACAGAUCAUCAUCACCAUCACUAAUAUCAUAAUCACUGUCCACUAUUGCCCCAGGAUCAAAGUCAGAGUCAUCUGAACCACUCUCAUUUGUUUCCAUUUCAUAACUAACUGCUCCAGAUGAGUUACAUUGUUUGUUUUUCCUUUUGAAGUAUCUUCCUCUAACACCUUCACCUUGACCUUCAACAUCAUCAUCAUCACCAUUUCUUGCUGUCUGAAUCACAGCUGGCUCCUCCACACUAACAUCUUCACUGGCAUAAGAUGCUUUCCUUUUUGCAAACACAUAGUUGCUUACACCUUCAUCUUCUGCAUGCUCUGGAGGAUACACUACCUGUAUAGGAAUUGGGUGUGGCACAUUUGCAUCUUCAGGCUCAACAUCAAUAUCUGCAAUUUCUGGCUCAUUUGGUUUACACUUGGAAGGACUAAACACUUGAGGUAGCUGCUGAAGGAAAUAUGCCCUAGAGGCAAUAAUAAAGUUAUUAUUUAUUUCCUUAUAUCAUGAUAAAUGUUUAUUAUUCAUGCUAGAAUUGUAUUAACCGGAAACAUAAUACAUGUGUGAAUACAUAGACAAACAGUAUGUCACUAGUAUGCCUCUACUUGACUAGCUCGUUGAAUCAAAGAUGGUUAAGUUUCCUAGCCAUAGACAUGAGUCGUCAUUUGAUUAACGGGGUCACAUCAUUAGGGAAUGAUGUGAUUGACUUGACCCAUUCCGUUAGCAUAGCACUUGAUCAUUUAGUUUGUUGCUAUUGCUUUCUUCAUGACUUAUCAUGUUCCUAUGACUAUGAGAUUAUGCAACUCCCGUUUACCAGAGGAACAUUUUGUGUGCUACCAAACAUCACAACGUAACUGGGUGAUUAUAAAGGUGCUCUACAGGUGUCUCCGAAGGUACUUGUCGGGUUGGCGUAUUUCGAGAUUAGGAUUUGUCACUCCGAUUGUCGGAGAGGUAUCUCUGGGCCCACUCGGUAAUGCACAUCACUAUAAGCCUUGCAAGCAUUGCAACUAAUGAGUUAGUUGCGAGAUGAUGUGUUACGGAAAGAGUAAAGAGACUUGCCGGUAACGAGAUUGAACUAGGUAUUGAGAUACCGACGAUCGAAUCUUGGGCAAGUAACAUACCGAUGACAAAGGGAACAACGUAUGUUGUUAUGCGGUUUGACCGAUAAAGAUCUUCGUAGAAUAUGUAGGAGCCAAUAUGAGCAUCCAGGUUCCUCUAUUGGUUAUUGACAGGAGAGUGUCUCGGUCAUGUCUACAUAGUUCUCGAACCCGUAGGGUCCGCACGCUUAAAGUUCGAUGACGGUUAUAUUAUGAGUUUAUGUGUUUUGAUGUACCGAAGGAGUUGGAGUCCCGGAUGAGAUCGGGGACAUGACGAGGAGUCUCGAAAUGGUCGAGAUGUAAAGAUCGAUAUAUUGGACGACUAUAUUUGGACAUCGGAAAGGUUCCGAGUGAUUCGGGUAUUUUCGGGAGUACUAGGAAGUUACGGGAAUUCGUAUUGGGCCUUAAUGGGCCAUACGGGAAAGGAGAGAAAGGCCUCAAAGGGCGGCCGCACCCCUCCCCAUGGGCUGGUCCGAAUUGGACUAGGGAGGGGGGCGCCCCCUUCCUUCCUUCUCCUUUUCCCUUCCCUUCCCUUCCCUCCUACUCCUACUACUUGGAAGGGCUCCUAGUUCUACUAGGAAAGGGGGAAUCCUACUCCUGGUGGGAGUAGGACUCCCCUAGGGCACGCCAUAGAGAGGUCCGGCCCCUCCCCUCCUCCACUCCUUAUAUACGUGGCCAGGGGGCACCCCAUAGAGAUAACAAUUGAUCUCUUGAUCUCUUAGCCGUGUGCGGUGCCCCCCUCCACCAUAAUCCACCUCGAUCAUAUUGUAGCAGUGCUUAGGCGAAGCCCUGCGUCGGUAGAACAUCAUCAUCGUCACCACACCGUUGUGCUGACGAAACUCUCCCUCAACACUCGGCUGGAUCAGAGUUCGAGGGACGUCAUCGAGUUGAACGUGUGCAGAACUCGAAGGUGCCGUGCGUUCGGUACUUGAUCGGUCGGAUCGUGAAGACGUACGACUACAUUAACCGCGUUGUGCUAACGCUUCCGCUUUUGGUCUACGAGGGUACGUGGACACACUCUCCCCUCUCGUUGCUAUGCAUCACCAUGAUCUUGCGUGUACGUAGGAAAAUUUUGAAAUUACUACGUUCCCCAACAGUGGCAUCAGAGCCAGGUUUUAUGCGUUGAUGUAAUAUGCAUGAGUAGAACACAAGUGAGUUGUGGGCGUUAUAAGUCAUACUGCUUACCAGCAUGUCACACUUUGGUUCGGCGGUAUUGUUGGAUGAAGCGGCCCAGACCGACAUUACGCGUACGCUUGUGCGAGACUGGUUUUACCGUCGUGCUAUGCACACAGGUGACUAGCGGGUGUCAGUUUCUCCAACUUUAGUUGAACCGAGUGUGGCUACGCCCGGUCCUUGACAAGGUUAAAACAACACUAACUUGACAAACUAUCGUUGUGGUUUUCGAUGCGUAGGUAAGAACGGUUCUUGCUCAGCCCGUAGCAGCCACGUAAAACUUGCAACAACAAAGUAGAGGACGUCUAACUUGUUUUUACAGGGCAUGUUGUGAUGUGAUAUGGUCAAGACGUGAUGAGAUAUAAGUUUUUGUAUAAGAUGAUCAUGUUUUGUUGAAGUUAUCGGCAACUGGCAGAAGCCUUAUGGUUGUCUCUUUAUUGCAUAAGAUGCAAGCGCCAAAUAAUUGCUUUACAAUUAUCGCUAUGCGAUAGCAUUAGUUGCAAGAGCAAUAGUUGGCGAGACGACCAUGUGACGACACAUUGAUAUAGAUCAAGAUGAUGGAGAUCAUGGUGUCAUGCCGAUGACGAUGGAAAUCAUGACGAUGUUUUGGAGAUGGAGAUCAAAGGCACAAGAUGAUGAUGGCCAUAUCAUGUCACAUAUUUUGAUUGCAUGUGAUGUUUAUCUUUUAUGCAUCUUAUCUUGCUUUAAUUGAUGGUAGCAUUAUAAGAUGAUCUCUCACUAAAUUUCAAGACAAAAGUGUUCUCCCUGAGUAUGCACCAUUGCCAAAGUUUGUCGUGCCCGGACACCACGUGAUGAUCGGGUGUGAUAAGCUCUACGUCCAUCUACAACGGGUGCAAGCCAGUUUUGCACAUGCAGAAUACUCAGGUUAAACUUGACGAGCCUAGCAUAUGCAGAUAUGGCCUCGGAACACUGGAGACCGAAAGGUCGAGCGUGAAUCAUAUAGUAGAUAUGAUCAACAUAAUGAUGUUCACCAUUGAAAACUACUCCAUUUCAUGUGAUGAUCGGUUAUGGUUUAGUUGAUAUGGAUCACGUGAUCACUUAGAUGAUUAGAGGGAUGUCUAUCUAAGUGGGAGUUCUUAAGUAAUAUGAUUAAUUAAACUUUAACUUAUCAUGAACUUAGUCCUGGUAGUAUUAGCAUAUAUAUGUUGUAGAUCAAUAUCUCGCGUUUAGCUCCCCUGUUUUAUUUUUGAUAUGUUCCUAGAGAAAACUAAGUUGAAAAAUAUUAGUAGCAAUGAUGUGGAUUGGAUCCGUGAUCUGAGGUUUAUCCUCAUUGCUGCAUAGAAGAAUUAUGUCCUUGAUACACCGCUAGGUGACAAACCUAUUGCAGGAGCAGAUGCAGAUGCUAUGAACGUUUGGCUAGCUCAAUAUGAUGACUACUCAAAGGUUUAGUGCACCAUGCUUAAACGGCUUAGAAUCGGGACUUCAAAGACGUUUUGAACGUCAUGGACCAUAUGAGAUGUUCGAGGAGUUGAAGUUAAUAUUUCAAGCAAAUACCCAAGUUGAGAGAUAUGAAGUCUCCAACAAGUUCUAUAGCUAAAAGAUGGAGGAGAAUAGCUCAAUCAGUGAGCAUGUGCUCAGAUUGUCUGGGUACUACAAUUGCUUGAAUCAAGUGGGAGUUAAUCUUCCAAAUAAAAUAGUGAUUGACAGAAUUCUCUAGUCACCAUCACCAAGUUAGUAGAACUUCGUGAUGAACUAUAAUAUGCAAGGGAUAACGGAAACGAUUCCCAAGCUCUUCGUGAUGCUGAAAUCGACGAAGGUAGAAAUCAAGAAAAGCAUCAAGUGUUGAUGGUAAACAAAACCACUAGUUUCAAGUAAAGGGGAAAAGGGAAGAAAGGGGAACUUCAAGAAGAACGGCAAACAAGUUGCUGCUCAAGUGAAAAAACCCAAGUCUGGACCUAAGCCUGAAACUGGGUGCUUCUACUGCAAAGGGACUAGUCAUUGGAAGUGGAACUACCCCAAGUAAUUGGCGGAUAAGAAGGAUGGCAAAGUGAACAUAGGUAUAUUUGAUAUACAUGUUAUUGAUGUGUACUUUACUAGUGUUUAUAGCAAUCCCUCAGUAUUUGAUACUAGUUCAGUUGCUAAGAAUAGUAACUUGAAACGGGAGUUGCAGAAUGAACAUAGGCUAGUUAAGGGUGAAGUGACGAUGUGUAUUGGAAAUGGUUCCAAGAUUAAUAUGAUCAUCGUCGCACACUCCCUAUACUUUCGGGAUUAGUGUUAAACCUAAAAUAAAUGUUAUUUAGUGUUUCCGUUGAGCAUGAAUAUGAUUGGAUCAUGUUUACUGCAAUACGGUUAUUCAUGUAAGUUAGAGAAUAAUUGUUGUUCUGUUUACAUGAAUAAAACCUUCUAUGGUCAUACACCCAAUAAAAAUGUUUUGUUGGAUCUCGAUCGUGGUAAUACACAUUUUCAUAAUAUUGAAGCCAAAAGAUGCAAAGUUAAUAAUGAUAGUGCAACUUAUUUGUGGCACUGCCAUUUAGGUCAUAUCAGUGUAAAGUGCAUGAAGAAAAUCCAUGCUGAUGGGCUUUUGGAAUCACUUGAUUAUGAAUCAGUUGAUGUUUGCGAACCAUGCCUCAUGGGCAAGAUGACUAAGACUCCGUUCUCCGGAACAUUGGAGCGAGCAACAGAUUUGUUGGAAAUCAUACAUACUGAUGUAUGUGGUCCGAUGAAUAUUGAGGCUCACGGCAGGUAUCAUUAUUUUCUGAUCUUCAUAGAUGAUUUGAGCAGAUAUGAGUAUAUCUACUUGAUGAAACACAAGUCUGAAACAUUUGAAAAGUUCAAAGAAUUUCAGAGUGAAGUGGAGAAUCAUCGUAACAAAAAUAAAAGUUUCUACGAUAUGAUCACAGAAGUAAAAUAUUUGAGUUACGACUUUGGCCUUCAGUUAAAACAAUGUGAAAUAGUUUCACUACUCACGCCACCUGGAACACCAUAGUGUAAUGGUGUGUCUGAACAUCGUAACCGUACUUUAUUAGAUAUGGUGCGAUCUAUGAUGUCUCUUACCAAUUUACCACUAUCAUUUUGGGGUUAUGCAUUAGAGACAGCUACAUUCACAUUAAAUAGGGCACCAUCUAAAUCCGUUGAGAUGACACCGUAUGAACUAUGGUUUGGCAAGAAACCUAAGCUGUCGUUUCUUAAAGUUUGGGGUUGCAAUGCUUAUGUGAAAAAGUUUCAUCUUGAUAAGCUCAAACCCAAGUCGGAGAAGUACAUCUUCAUAGGAUACCCAAAAGAAAAUGUUGGGUACACCUUCUAUCAUAGAUCCGAAGGCAAGUUAUUCAUUGCUGAGAAUGGAUCCUUUCUAGAGAAGGAGUUUCUCUCGAAAGAAGUGAGUGGAAGGAAAGUAGAACUUGAUGAGGUAACUGUACCUGCUCCCUUAUUGGAAAGUAGUUCAUCACAGAAAUAUGUUCCUAUGACUGCUACACCAAUUAGUGAGGAAGCUAAUGAUGAUGAUCAUGUAACUUCAGAUCAAGUUACUACCGAACCCCGUAGGUAAACCAGAGUGAGAUCCGCACCAGAGUGGUACGGUAAUCCUGUUCUGAAGGUCAUGUUACUUGACCAUGACGAGUCUACAAACUAUGAGGAAGCGAUGAUGAGCCCAGAUUCCACGAAAUGGCUUGAGGCCAUGAAAUCUGAGAUGAGAUCCAUGUAUGAGAACAAAGUAUGGACUUUGAUUGACUUGCCCAUUGAUCGACAAGCCAUUGAGAUUAAAUGGAUCUUUAAGAGGAAGACGGACGCUGAUAGUAGUGUUACUAUCUACAAAGCUAGAAUUGUCGCAAAAAGGUUUUUGACAAGUUCAAGGUGUUGACUACGAUGAGAGUUUCUCACUCGUAUCUAUGCUUAAGUCUGUCCGAAUCAUGUUAGCAAUUGCCGCAUUUUAUGAAAUCUGGCAAAUGGAUAAACAAAACUGCAUUCCUUAAUGGAUUCAUUAAAGAAGAAUUGUAUAUGAUGCAACCAUAAGGUUUUGUCAAUCCUAAAGGUACUAACAAAAUAUGCAAGCUCCAGCGAUCUAUCUAUGGACUGGUGCAAGCAUCUCGGAGUUGGAAUAUACGCUUUGAUAAGUUGAUCAAAGCAUAUAGUUUUAUAUGGACUUGCGGUGAAGCCUGUAUUUACAAGAAAGUGAGUGGGAGCACUACAACAUUUCUGAUAAGUAUAUGUGCAUGACAUAUUGUUGAUCGGAGAUAAUGUAGAAUUAUUCUACAAAGCAUAAAGGAAUGUUUGGAAGGAGUUUUUCAAAGAAAGACCUCGGUGAAGUUGCUUACAUAUUGAGCAUCAAGAUCUAUAGAGAUAGAUCAAGAUGCUUGAUAAGUUUUUCAAUGAGUACAUACCUUGACAAGAUUUUGAAGUAGUUCAAAAUGGAACAGUCAAAGAAGGAGUUCUUGCCUGUGUUACAAGGUGUGAAGUUGAGUAAGACUCAAAACCCGACCACGGCAGAAGAUAGAGAGAGAAUGAAAGUCAUUCCCUAUGCCUUAGCCAUAGGUUCUAUAAAGUAUGCCAUGCUGUGUACCGGACCUAUUGUAUACCCCGCCCUGAGUUUGGCAAGGGAGUACAAUAGUGAUCUAGGAGUAGAUCACUGGACAUUGGUCAAAAUUAUCCUUAGUGGAAUAAGGUUAUGUUUCUUGAUUAUGGAGGUGACAAAAGGUUCGUCGUAAAGGGUUACGUCAAUGCAAGUUUUGACACUGAUCCAGAUGACUCAAAGUCUCAAUCUGGAUACAUAUUUAAAGUGGGAGCAAUUAGCUAGAGUAGCUCCGUGUAGAGCAUUGUUGACAUAGAAAUUUGCAAAAUACAUACGGAUCUGAAUGUGGCAGACCCUUUGACUAAACUUCCCUCACAAGCAAAACAUGAUCACACCUUAGUACUCUUUGGGUAUUAGUCACAUAGCGAUGUGAACUAGAUUAUUGACUCUAGUAAACCCUUUGGGUGUUGGUCACAUGACGAUGUGAACUAUUGAUGUUAAAUCACAUGGCGAUGUGAACUAGAUUAUUGACUCUAGUGCAAGUGGGAGACUGAAGGAAAUAUGCCCUAGAGGCAAUAAUAAAGUUAUUAUUUAUUUCCUUAUAUCAUGAUAAAUGUUUAUUAUUCAUGCUAGAAUUGUAUUAACCAGAAACAUAAUACAUGUGUGAAUACAUAGACAAACAAUAUGUCACUAGUAUGCCUCUACUUGACUAGCUCGUUGAAUCAAAGAUGGUUAAGUUUCCUAGCCAUAGACAUGAGUCGUCAUUUGAUUAACAGGGUCACAUCAUUAGAGAAUGAUGUGAUUGACUUGACCCAUUCCGUUAGCAUAGCACUUGAUCGUUUAGUUUGUUGCUAUUACUUUCUUCAUGACUUAUACAUGUUCCUAUGACUAUGAGAUUAUGCAACUCCCGUUUACCAGAGGAACACUUUGUGUGCUACCAAACGUCACAACGUAACUGGGUGAUUAUAAAGGUGCUCUACAGGUGUCUCCGAAGGUACUUGUUGGGUUGGCGUAUUUCGAGAUUAGGAUUUGUCACUCUGAUUGUCGGAGAGGUAUCUCUGGGCCCACUCGGUAAUGCACAUCACUAUAAGCCUUGCAAGCAUUGCAACUAAUGAGUUAGUUGCGGGAUGAUGUGUUACGGAACGAGUAAAGAGACUUGCUGGUAACGAGAUUGAACUAGGUAUUGAGAUAUCGACGAUCGAAUCUCGGGCAAGUAACAUACCGAUGACAAAGGGAACAACGUAUGUUGUUAUGCGGUUUGACCGAUAAAGAUCUUCGUAGAAUAUGUAGGAGCCAAUAUGAGCAUCCAGGUUCCACUAUUGGUUAUUGACAGGAGAGUGUCUCAGUCAUGUCUACAUAGUUCUCGAACCCGUAGGGUCCGCACGCUUAAAGUUCGAUGACGGUUAUAUUAUGAGUUUAUGUGUUUUGAUGUACCGAAGGAGUUCGGAGUCCCGGAUGAGAUCGGGAACAUGACAAGGAGUCUCGAAAUGGUCGAGACGUAAAGAUUGAUAUAUUGGACGACUAUAUUUGGACAUCGAAAAGGUCUCGAGUGAUUCGGGUAUUUUCGGUAGUACUAGAAAGUUACGGGAAUUCGUAUUGGGCCUUAAUGGGCCAUACGGGAACGGAGAGAAAGGCCUCAAAGGGAGGCCACACCCCUCCCCAUGGGCUGGUCCGAAUUGGACUAGGGUGGGGGGCGUCCCCUUCCUUCCUUCUCCUUUUCCCUUCCCUUCCCUUCCCUCCUACUCCUACUACUUGGAAGGGCUCCUAGUUCUACUAGGAAAAGGGGAAUCCUACUCCCGGUGGGAGUAGGACUCCCCUAGGGCGCGCCAUAGAGAGGGCCGGCCCCUCCCCUCCUCCACUCCUUUAUAUACGUGGCCAGGGGGCACCCCAUAGAGAUAACAAUUGAUCUCUUGAUCUCUUAGCCGUGUGCGGUGCCCCCCUCCACCAUAAUCCACCUCGAUCAUAUCGUAGCAGUGCUUAGGCGAAGCCCUGCGUCGGUAGAACAUCAUCAUCGUCACCACGCCGUCGUGCUGACGAAACUCUCCCUCAACACUCGGCUGGAUCGGAGUUCGAGGGACGUCGUCGAGUUGAACGUGUGCAGAACUCGGAGGUGUCGUGCGUUCGGUACUUGAUCGGUCGGAUCGUGAAGACGUACGACUACAUCAACCGCGUUGUGCUAACGCUUCCGCUUUCGGUCUACGAGGGUACGUGGACACACUCUCCCCUCUCGUUGCUAUGCAUCACCGUGAUCUUGCGUGUACGUAGUCAAAUUUUGAAAUUACUACGUUCCCCAACAGCUGCCUUAUUGGGAAAUUGACCACAUCAUCUUCUGUCAGGUUAGCAUUCAAACUGUCCUCGUGGUCAAGGUACAAACUAAAUGAGUAAUGCCCAAUUGACACAAAUGUGAGCAUCUGAUCUGUGUCACUAUCUCCUCUGAUUUCUCUCAACCCAUUCCUAUUGAUUAACAACAUGGGAAUGCAGUAAUAUACCUUCAACCUGCCUGCCAUCUCCCAUCCUAUCUCUUCAACUAGGUUUUCAACCAUGAUUGGAGACCAAGUAUCUGCAUCUACUUCAUCGUUAAACUGAACUGAAAACUUCCUGCUGUGCUUGUCUGCAUACAUGAAAAUAGAGCACAACAGAGUUUCAGAAUUUAUGUUCCACAUACUGCAAGAAAUAGAUGCAAGAUACCAACUUUUAGUAUGUAAUUCACCUAUACAACCAACAUCUUCAACAUGCACCAAAAUAUACACCUUUCAGCACCAAAUAACCUAUAAACAACCACCUUCUCCAAACCCAAAACCCUAUAGGCAGAAACCCCCAAAUCAUGGUCGAAAACCCUAGGCAAAUCUCUCCAAAAUACAGAUGGGCAUAUCUGACUAACAGACACACCAUUCACAAUGCCCACCUCUAAAUUUCGACCCUGUAGCUUACAACACAAGAACCAUGGCGGGGCGAUGUGAGGGCUUACUGUAGUUGGGCGGUGGAGCGCCAUCGGGGCGACGAACAGGCGACAUCGCGACAAAACAACUCCAGCAAUGAGAUGCGCCGCGUCUGCGCGGCGGCUCUCGCCCUUGUGCGGUGACUCCGGUGGUGGUGGUGCGGUGCCGCCGACGAUCGCCCUUCCCUCCUCCCCUUUCACCUCCUCCCCUUUCGUUAUGAUCGAAGCCGAAUGGACAAGGAGUUGGAGGAAUUACAGAGCCAGCCAAGGGUUUUCCUUGUAAAAAGCCCAGAGAACCCCCGCAAACGCCAGCUGUCGCCUCGGAUUGGUCAACAAGUGGUCAAAUGGAGCGGCGACGAGUGGCGUGCGGUGAACAGUGACCGUAUAAUCACGUGUAGGCGUAUUGAGUGACCGUAUUGAUCGUGUUUUGAAAUACAGUGACCAAAGCGUGCUUUUUUCUCAAGUUCAAGUACCGUCAGUGCAUUUUUUAGAUUGUGAAGUAGGAGACCAGUUGCUUCUUUUACCGUGUGCCGCUCACUCAACCAGUUGCAAUUUCAGAGACACCGGACACCGGAGAGAGACAGGGGUGAAGAUGCAGGUUGCAGCUGGUUCGCAGGCGGCGAUGGAGAGGGGCGACCAGCAGAGCGCCAAGAAGCCGAGGCUGACUUGCUGAGCCGCUCCUCCAUGCCCCAGUGAAGCAGGAGAAGAUCUCCAGGACGCCGCGGAGCUCGGGUUCCUGCGCCUGCCCGCUGAUGGAAUGGCCGUGGCCGCGCGCCGACCAGUACGUUGCCCGGACCAGCGCGGGGACAGCGCGGGUACACGGCCAAGGGCUUGCCCCCCGUGAACCCUCCGGAAGUCACGAGCCAUCGCGUAAGAUUGCCGCAGCCGAGUUCGAUUUCAGUUCCAGUUCAGCCGGCGACAGCUGCUAAUCCGCGCCCGGCAAGGAUUGGGAGAUCUCCGGUAAAUAAAAGGGCGGCGGCGGUGGGAGCAGCUGCCCCAACUUGAUUCGUUCGCCUCCCUCCCCGAUCCCCAGAUCCAAUCCAAGACGCCAUCCAUGGCGGCGAAGGUGCUCCAGCUCCGUAGCUCCGACGGCAAGGUGCUCGUCGCUCCGGCGUGGGACUAUCGCCCCACCGCCGCCCAAGCCCGCCCGCUGGAGAUGCGGGUGCCCUCGCGCGUCCUCGAGAGGGUGCUCCAGUACUGGACCAAGCACAGCCUUGCCAAGGCAACCGGUGAGUCCCGGGAGUCCCUCGCCCGCUGGGACGGCGACUUCCAGCGCCGUCUCGAGGAAGACGGCCUCGCCAAGGAGGCUGCCGCAGCCGCCCAAGAACUCCGCCGCUACGGCGUCGACCAUGGAGGGCGUCCCCAUCGCUACGCCGCCACGGCCACAUCUGAUGUCGCUGCUCCUGCCAAGGCGGCCCGUGCUGAUCCCAUCCGUGUCUGGUGUGUCAACCACGGAGAACGCAGCCAUGCGCCGGCGAUGCCCGGCUCCUUCGAUGCCUCCGCCGCGCGCCCAGGGCCUGCCACCACCUUGCCGGCUGCUGCUGGUGCUGACCCCGUGGAUGUCCGGUGCGCGAUCCGUGCCCGUGGACGCCAGAUGGCUGAAGACGAGGAGUCCGCUUGCCACCACCGCAAGCGCCCAUCUUCCAAGGCUCCACUCUGCCUGACUGCCACUGCUGUUGCGCCCGUGAAGAAGGUCUCUCGUCCCGUCGCUUCCAAGGCUCGCUCUUUCGUCGGCUCAACACCAUUGCCAGUCACUGCUGCUGUGCCCAGUGUGAAGAAGGCGACUCCAGCUUCAACUCUACGCGCAAGAAGGGGGAUGGGGGAGCUCAGCUGCAAGGUUCCGAAGCAAAACCGUGUCACCGCUGCAGCACCAAUGAAGCAACCAAUUGCUUGGCUGCGUCCAGUGGUAUUACGCCCUUGCUAGUCUUUUACCUUCCUAAACCAUUCACACAUGAGUUUCAUUUAAUCUUUGCAUCUCUAGGUUCUGCACUUGCUUACCAAGAUUACUAGUGUUCUUUGAAUCCCUUUCAGUCAUUAGUAAUUUUACAAGGGUGUCGGCAGAGUCUCCAUCUAGCUAGGCAGCAAAAACCUUGUUAAGAUGUGUGCGGCAUAGUUACACUACAUCCACACCUGGUCCUAAGUUAAGGGUUUAAGUAAAUAAAGGGCAUUUUCAAUAAAUCAAAGUGAAGCAGAUGAGCCAAAAAAAUUGGAAACUCAUGUACUGCAAUUCCGGCACGAGACAGAGCGUAAAACGCACUCGCCGCAAAAUGCAAAACGCCCGUUUGCUACCCGGCUUGUAGCAGGAAAAAGGAGUAGAAUUGAACUUGUCGAUACACACAGUAAUCAUGUGAGCUGCCUAGCGUCUGGAGACUAUGCUGACUCUCCUGUAAAAUUAAUCUUGGCUGACUUGGAUUCUUAGGCAUUGGCGUCUUGGUGAGUUAAAGUUGCAGUUUCCGAAGAGUACCAUUGGUUAGUGAACUCUUGUGUGUAUGUGUGGGUGAAGCUUUGAGCUCAGCAAGUCCUUGAUGUACCGACUAUCAAGUCAUACUGUAACCAAUUUUGGAUAUGAAUGAGAAAAUUGUUGGCCUGAAUUUUGCAGAGCAUUUGAGUAAUCUUUUCGUAUCUAUUUAUUCUUGUAUGCUUCUGUGGCUUCUUAAAGCAUUCUGCUGCUCACUGAGUCAUAUUGUUUUCAAUAUCAGAUAUGAAUGAAAAAUUGUUGGCCUGAAUCUAUGCAAAGCAUUUGAGUAAC